rnacentral:lncRNA from 1 species
UUUUUUUUUUUUUUUUGGUUUGAAGUAGCCAUGACUUUGGUUGUAAUCAAUUCAAAGACAAACCCAGUUCACUUGCAGCCAUGUUCAUCAAAAUGAACAAGUUUCAUGAUGUGAGCAGUCACUUGCCCUUGUAUUUUAAGAUCAUCUCACCCCGUGGUUGACACUCCAUUCCCCUUAGUUGUAGGUGCUUGUUCUAUUUUGAUUUGAAUGGGCUAGGUCUCACGAGGUACAUAUGGCUGGCCCUUCGGGUGUCUCCAGUCCAAAUGCUUUGAGCUCAUUAAAUCCCAUGGAACAUUGGGAAUGCUGAAGUGCAAAUAGAGGGAAAAAAGAAGACUCGAAGUUGAUUUUUUUUGCUUCACAUCUGUAUUGAAAAGUCCCGACAUUUGUCUUGGGUUAUAUUACCUGAAAAAUAACAAUUAUGUCUAUCCAACCUGCCCUUGAUGCACUGGAAAAAAUGAUAAAACCUUGGUGGUCUGCAAAGUGAAUUUGUGCCAAAUAGUAAAUAUACUACUGGGGAAUGGAUGAAUAAAUUAUUAGUUGUUUCUCUGCAGGCUGUACACAGAAUUCAUCACGCUAUUUACAACGCUUUAGAAAGCCUCCUCAACUGUAACAAAUUUUUAGUACUAACCUUUUUGUUUACCACCAGCUGUGCAAAAUCCUGGGACCAGAGUGGUGCAAGCUUGCAGAAUUCUGAAAUGUUGUAUUUUCUCUAAUUACUACAGGAAAUUUGGAAUUUAAAAAAUUAAUUAAAAUUAUUGCAUAGGACCUAAGAAUAAUUUUCCUUUGUGACCCUUUUCUGCUUUUGUUGUUGGUAUGGUAGUUGGACAGUGGGCUUUUUCUUCUAUUUUGGAGGAAAUAUAUCUUGUUCUGAGCAGAUGUUGGGCCUAUAAGCUGUGGAUUCUGGAUUAGGUUGUCAUAUUAUGAAAUAAGUGUUAAAAGCCAAAUUAGAAAUAAAUGUCUUCCAACUGCGGAUCCUAGAUUUUGUUUGUGUAAAUUUUUUGUUGGUCUAUAAGCUGUAUCCGAAGCUUACUUUGUCAGUCAACCUGGAGACUUAUUUUGCUUCGACAGAGUAGCAAAGCGUUUGCUGGAAAACAUGGAUUCAUAACUCUUAGAGACUUAUUUUGGUGGGCUGAUCGUUUCAGGACAGUUGGGAAUUCAUAGGAAGAUUUGUCCAGAGAUGGUUAUUAUCUUUUGGCAGAAACACUCAAAGAUGAGGGUGAGAAACAGGUUGUUCAAGCAGUUUUAGUGAAACAUAUCUGGGUUAAACUAGUCAAAGAUAACUUGUACCAUCAGGUGUGGUUCUUUUCCCUCCCUCCUCUCCCUUCCUCUCUUAUGUGGGCAUUUUGUUGCAUGUGUGCUUGCAUUGUAUAUGAGGUCAUGAUCUACAUAUUAAUUUAUAUUUCUGUGGUCUGAGUUACCUUUGCCUUUUGUGUUUCUGUACUUUCAGCUAUCGUUGCCUUUUGUGUUUCUAUACUUUCAGUUAUGUUUACCUUUUGUGUUGCAUUAAGAUUUGACAAAUGGAUCUGGAGUCUGUUUGGUGCAGCUGUAAAUUUUGGCAAAAUGCUUUUUCAAGGGGAAAAAAACUAUGGAUUGACAAGGUAGAUACUAAUUUGAUAACUGCUUCUUAAGAAUUAUUUGUGGAAAGAAGUAUCUAUCAAUAUGUAAACAAAUCUUAAAUUGUAGAUCCUCUUCCUGUAAGCUCUUCUACAAAAGCAUCUCACCCCAAACCUGAAUGGAAAUAGCCUUCAAGCUACUAGCUUUACUGCCCUAAAGUGCUUUAAUGCAUACCUACACGCUGAAUAAAGCUUUAGCUAUCAUAAAGAGCUCUUAGGCAAUUAGAAAGGUGCACACUGGGGGGCCUUAUUGCAUUAUGAUCUGUAGUUGGUUUUUAUUUUUAUUUUUUUUGCAUUUCGACAAUGUUCUGAUUGACAAUUUGAUCAUUGGUACCUGAAGAACAAGCAGUCGCUGGACCUCUCAGAGAGAUAUAAAAAUCCUAUAAAUGUGCUCUCGUUUGUUGUUUUUGUAGAUAGGCUUUGAGUGGUAGAUUAGCAUGUUGGGUGGUUUUUUCUUGCUUUUGUUGCAUCUUGUAUAAAUUGUGUUUACUUGGUUUAUGCGCUUUCUGCUAAGGUUUUUUUUUUUUUGUUAACUUAUCUUGUUUUUCCUAUUAAAGGCAUCCUCAACAAAAAUAAUAAUAAUAAUAAUAAUAAUAAUAAAAGAACGUCUGAAAAGAAUUGAGUAUAUUCCAUAAUUGACUAUUAGAAAAAGAUGUUGAGCAUGGAUUGUGUUAUUAGGCUUUUAAACAACUGCUAAAAUACACUAUCUUAGUUUACCGUUUAACAAAUAAAAAUAACUUGAGUGUGUUCUCUUACCUGUUUUCUCAUCUUUGGUUUUUGUUGCCUUGAGGAUGAGCACUAAUCAUGCGACUUUUAUAUUUUGAGUUAUAAAGAAAUCUUAUGGAAAUUGGAGAAUACAUACAUAAAAUUUGCUGACAUAGAUUGGCAUAACUACUUGUAAAUGGUUAAUGAAGAAAGAUAUAUGCCAUAGAUACUAUCAAAGUGCUUACAUGAAUUGAAGUUUUUAAUGGAAAAGUCCAAGUUUAAUAGCUCAUCCUCUGCAUUUCAAGAGAUAUGUCUUGCUUGUCAUGAUCUGGAGUUAGAUAAUCUGAUUCAUAGGCUUUGUAUUUAUAAGUUUAUCUGUAUGUUUACUGAAUGAUUCUCCCUAAUAUAAUGCAUUUAUAAAUCCAAAACCUGGUUAUAUAAGGACUUGAUGUUAUUGCAAAUAUUUAAGGCUAACUCUACACUUCCUCCCUAGUUCUCCUCAAGUGCAAAGAAGCUAAUUAAAAGAAUCUUGGACCCUAAACCAGAGAUGAUAGGUCCAUCUCCUCUUGUUCUUAUGCCUUAAAAUAUAAUAAUCUUUCCUAUUCUGGCAAAAUUUUAUACAGAUUUUGUAUAAAGAGUUUACUUCCCUUGUUAAGAAGAGAAAAAAGAGUUUUUCUUCUUUCUCUUCCUUUUAUUAUUUUGGUUUGGUUGGUGAUUAGUUUGGUGUAUGUUAUAUCAUCCUUUAGUUGCAUUAGCCAUUAUUUUCCUCAUUGCUUAUAACUCUGAGUUACUUGGUAUUGCUAUGGUUUGAAACAAGGGUUUACAAUUGCUAAAGUCAUUGAGAAUGAGUGGUUUAAGAAGGGAUAUAAGCCACCUAGUUUUGAACAAACAGAUGUUAGUCUUGAUGAUUGGGAUGCUAUCUUUGAUGAAUCGGGGGCAAGUAUCUUCUUGUUGUACCAAUUUCAUUUAAGCAUAUUUUUCUUACACUCCUUGGUCAAUCUAUAUGUCAAUGGAUUAUUAGGGUGUGACAUUGUACUUGAUCUACCGUUUGGUGUUCAGGACUCUCAAAACCUUGUUGUGGAGAGGCGUGAAGAGUGACCUAUGGCGCUUGUCACUUUGAAUGCUUUUGAUCUUAUCUUGACAUCUCAGGGUCUCAACCUCGGUACUCUCUUUGAAAAGCCAAUGGUACGUUGUAGCUUUGAUUGUUGUCAAGUUCAAUGAAAUAUUAAGAAUCUAAGUUUAUUUAUUUAUUUGUGUGUAAAGUUACAGCUUCUAAGUGAUAUAAUCAAGAAUAUCUUCAAGUGCCUAGGAUGAUCUUAGAUGCUUUACUUGUAGGUUCUAUUAUAUAAUAACUUAUGAGAUUACAGCUUGGUUUAUAUCUCAGAAAUAAUUUUUUCACCUCUCCUCCACCAACACCACAACAACAAAAAUUAAGGAGUAAUUGUUGUCUCUCGUAAGUCAUAACAUAAGAAUGCUUUUGAUCUCAUCUCGACAUCUCAGGGUCUCAACCUUGGUACUCUCUUUGGAAAGCCAAUAGUACAUUGUAGCUUUGAUUGUUGUCAAGUUCAAUGAGAUAUUAAGAAUCUAAGUUUAUUUAUUUAUUUGUGUGUAAAGUUACAGCUCCUAAGUGAUAGAAUCAAGAAUAUCUUCAAGUGCCUAGGAUGAUCUUAGACGUCUUGAUCUCAAAAGCAUCUUACCUUUCACCAUUUAAUUGUUCAAAAGUCUAUACAGAUAAUUCUAUCAUUGUGUUCUAAUCUUUACUUGUAGGUUUUAUUAUAUAAUAACUUAUGAGAUUACAGCUUGGUUUAUAUAUCAGAAAUAAUUUUUUCACCUCUCCUCCACCAACACCACAACAAUAAAAGUUAAGGAGUAAUUGUUUCUCUUGUAAGUCAUAACAUAUGUUGCUUCAAAGUUACAGCUAGAUAACUAAAUGAGCUUUAGUUGUUUAUUUAGCUAUGAUCUUAUCCUAAACUUCCUCAUAAAUAUGAAGCCUGCAUCUAACAUAUUCUUUGGUCACCAGUGCCUUAUUAAACAGGAGACAAUAUUUACAUUGAAGCAUCCUACCAAUGAGAUUAUCAAAAAAAUUGAGAAAACUAUUAUGCCUUUGGUUUUUAAUGUAAAGAAAAAUAACUUCAAUGUCAAUAAGCACUAUCUUUUCUAUUUAACAUGCAAUUUGCCAUAACUCUUCUUCUUUACACAACUUUCCUUAGUGAUUUAGAAAGAAAAUUUAUUAUUAAUCAAAUUCGAGGUGCAAGAUGAGAAUUUGUAGAGUGGAUGAAUUGGUGCAAGGAAUAUGAGUGUUGCAUGCAUUGAAUCUUGAUUGCUUUGCUUGUGACCUUUAUAUUAUCUUGAGCAGGCUUCCUCCUAAUUGCUAAGUUUGGAAGAUUGAAUAGAACCGAUGCACCUUAAUUAGACUUGGUUAUAGUUUUCUAACUUUCUAUUUGGUCUGCAAAUAAAAUCAACUCAGGAUUCUUGACUUCUCAUGUCCAAAAUUUUAAUCUGAUGAUAGUCUCCCAAUGAUUAGUUUAGUUGGUGGCUUGUCUAAAUCACAUAUAUACUUGUCAGAGUUAUGUGGAACUAAAUGCUUGGCAAAAUUACAAAAAUACUCUUGAGAUUUUCAUGGAAUUGAAUAGUUAGUGAUGCAUGUCUUGAUUUAUUAUGACAAAGUCAUAUGGUAUUAUUAUGCUCUGCUAAAACCUUUGCAACCCACCUUAGAUGAAACUUGAAGGGGAGAAAUUUGGAUGCAAGGGUCAUUUUGUCUAUUGCAAUAGAGGCAUUUCUCUCCUAGUUGCCUUGUUUGCAGGAUCCCCUGACCAUGAGUUCAUUGGAACAUUACCUGAAGAUGUCUCAACUGGAUGUCAAUAAUUUACUUGGACAAAUUUUUGAAGUGACCCUUUGCUAUACAUGGUCAAGCUUUGAAAAUCUGGGGGAGAUACUCUAGAAUUUCACAAGGUAUGUAUCUACUAUCUCAAUGCAAUUCUCAUAUUAAAUUAGAAUGAAUAUUGAAUUUUUAUCCCGGGCAUAUUGGUUGCCAAUAUCUUGUUUGAUGCCGAAGCCCUACCCUCUUUUAUGUAAAAAGCAUGUGUGAUAAAAUGUAGUGAUGUUUAUGCUAAAACGAGCUUCUACUACCUAUCUUUAAUUUAUUCCAAAAGUAAUUAGACCCCUAGAUAGGGGUCUCUUGGAUAUAAGGACCUUAAAUUCAAUGUAAGACCUGUAUUAAAUUGGCUCCUUAGGGAAUUGACACCCUGAACACAAUAUUAUUUUCCCAUGUUAGGAAAGCAGUCCAUUUUUCUCUAUAAAUUAUGAUUAAUAAAUUCAAUCAUUCACUAAAUUUGUCUUAUGUGCAAUUCUACAAGAACCUCUCAAUUGGGUUGAAAGAUAUUGUCUAGAAAUCAGGAGAUGAAGUAAAAGAGGAAGUGAAUAAUGGUUAGUGUGCAUUAUAACAUAGAUUAACGCAUUUUGCUUGAGUUUAAAUCAUUGUUCCUUUAAUGGCUUUUAAAUGGUGGUCAAUACUUGAAUUUAUAAAUCUAGCCAUGCAAUUGCAUAGAUAGAAAAAGAAAUCAUAUGUAGAACUUGAGAAUAUUAGAAUUUGUAUGGUUUUUGAGAAAAUUUAAACAAAAGAAAAUAAAAAUGAAACAAUUUGUCGUUUCCUAAAAAAUGAAAAAAUCUCAUUGAUGAAAUCUUAUGCAAAAAUUUGUUUAGUCCUUUCUCUUAGGGUUUGGUUCUUGCAAAGUAAUACUUAAGUUAUAUAACAACAACAUGAAUAUUCUUUAUUCCCCUGCAUAAGGUUCAUCAGUUUCUCGAGGAAACUUCAUUCUUCAGUGACAUGCAAUAAUUGUUUUUGAAAGAUGGCUACUGUAAACAUAGAAUCAAUAUGAAAGUUUAUAUACAUGUCACUUAUAAUUAGUUGCCAUAUGCUCUAACCAUCCAUUCGUUAGUGCAUGCAUGUUGCCUAUUCUUGGUCUUCACAUUUUAUAGGCAUGGAGAUGAUACUACAUUUGGCUUGUGGUUGUCUACAUGGUUUUGGAAAUUUUGGAUACGCAUGUUUGAGGCCUUUUGGUUUUGUAUGUCGUGGAAGAUACAAUUCCACCAAUGGAUUAUGACAAUGUCUUUUAAUGCAUUGCGGUCGAUAUGUCAUGGCAGGAGAGAUUACAAAAAUACAUAAAGAGGUAAAUCUAUGUUAUCUGCUAAUAAAAAUAACACCUUCUUUGUUUUGGUGGGAUUUGUGAACUAAAAGAAAUGUUUUUGACUCACUAACCUUCUACAUUUCAUACAAUGUGUCCAAGUUGGGGAAAGACCUCAUAAAGCUGACCUUGGUAAGCAGAAUGAUCUUUUUCUUGUAUGAUUCAGUCUAUAAACAUUUGGAUGUCUUUCUUGAAACCAAAAAAAUCAUCAACAAUUGAAAUCUUUUAAUUUUCCAAUCACUACAAAAUUUUAAAACCUUAAAAUGUGUGUGCGAGAACUGUUCCAUUAAGCAUUGAUUCUUUCAUUAGGAAUUAGAUCUGGCUUUUAUAGUAGAUAUAAAAGAGCUUUAGCUUUUUAAAACAUAGACAAAAAUAAAAGGAAAAAUAAAAAGUAAAACAAACCGAGUAAAUUGCAUAGGCCUAUGUGGCAAUUUUUUCAAACAGGAACUAACUAGGCCAAGUAUCUUGAACAUAUCAAUUAUUAAUUAUAAUCAAAAGUUUUGAGCUUAGAAUUUACGAAAUCCAAAAGCGUUUAAGUUAAGGAAGGUGCUACUUUUAAUGGUGCAUAUGGAUUCAUUUGAUCAGAAUGAUAGGUAAUUAUGUUCAUUAGUAGUGUGUUUGACACUAAUAUAACCAUUGGAUUGUUCUUAUGAGAUCCUUAAUUUUCUAAUUUAGAUGAUCAAGCCUCUUAACCAGCCUAUGGUAGAAUUCCACUCUUGAUUGAAGGAAAGGAAAAUUGUUGGGUUGAGGAAAAUCCAUUGGAGUUUCAAUUUGAAAAUGUACUUGGAGAUUUGGUCUCUAAGGGGUAGAGUAUUUUCUAUGAUAAUGACUUCUCAUACUUCUACAUGUUUUUUCUUGGCUAAAUUUUAGUUCAUGCAUGUGUAUUAGGCCUACAAAUAUAUCUGAUAAACAAUUCUCAGGACAAUAUUUGAAAGUUUUGAUAUUCAAUCUAAUUGCAUAGAAACUCUUUUUUAGGUUCAAACCAGGGAAUUCUCAAUUCAAGUUUUUUUAUUUAUAGAGUUUUUUUUUUCUACCAAAUUUCUUUUGUGAGGGCAUAUGUAUAUAUAAAAUAAUUGUUGAUACUUUAUUUGAAAGUUUUGAAAUUCAAUCCAAAAGCAUAAAACUCUUUUAGUUAAACCUUGUAGUCUUUUUUUUUUUUUUUUUCUUUAUGAGAAACAACAAAAUAAAAAAAGAAAGGACUAAUGGUUUCCAACAACAACACUGCCGAGAUCUGCCACUUCAAAAACCCCAUUUCCAAUUUUUCGUAGCAGAAACCCUAAUUUCCUUGCGGAAAAAUAAAAAAGAAAGGACAGAAAAAAGAGUUAAAAGGAGCUUCAGCAAGGGCGUGUUUGGAUGUAAAGGUUUAGGAAGGACGGCGCUUGCAGGUGCCCUCGAUGGUGAUGAAGCAAACGGCGCAAAAAAAAAAAGCAAGAUUAUGGCGAUUAUAACACCAAAUGUGAGCACAUCCAUUUCCUUUUCAUUAAGCCUUUUAACCUUUUCAAGGCGUAUUUUUUUCUAAACAGCAUUGCUUUCCAUCACCGCCGCCACUCUGCUCACCCAUGGCAUCAGGAUGAGGAUAUAUACUAUAUAUAAAUCCCUUUUUUUAUAUUAGAAACAAAAAGAAAUGAUUAUUUGGUGGAAAAGUCUUUGGUUUGAAUCAUUGCAUAUAUGAAAGGUUUGGAAGACUCAAAUAGGAUGUUUCAGUAUUCACUUCCCCAAUAGGUAAGUUUUGUAAUUACUGAUUUCAAGCUUAAUACCUGAAGCUUAUUUGCACGUAUUAAUUGAGAUUAAUACAGUUUUAUUACAAACACCCUGCCAUGUUGGGUCUGCACUUAAAAGUCAUAAUCAGCCUCGAGAUGCUAAGCACGUUGCCUUUUCACUCAUCAUUUACCAAAUGAUUCCUUGGUUUUUACAAAGUAUACGUACCAAAAUUCUCGCGGAGAGAUUUGUGUAAUUUCUUGAAUUCUAAGACAGGAAAUGGGGAUUUCCCGGGAAAUCAUGACAAAUUAUGUGUACAGAUUCCUCGUGAAUUUGCUGGGACUUUAGUUUUCUAAGACAUGAACCUGGAUAUGGCAUUGCAGCUGUUCUUGGAAACUUACUGAAUGCUUGUUCAGCUAUGAGUUCUCCACUAGAAGGAGUCUUUAUGGAAUUGAUGGAAUUAAUUAUUCAAGUUCUCUUCGAAUAAGAGUUUAUAACUGUAACAAAGUUGGAUGAUGCUUCUUGGGAUUUUAUAAAACCUGAAAUUUUUGCAUCUGUAGAAGCUACUGUUCCUUGACUCCAAUACUGCAGCAACAAUGGACUCAGCAAAAGUACUGCUCAUUAUUGUUGACCAUCAUUUUAUCUAUGUUAAAGGAGAAAGGGCAGGCUGCCCAUUUUUCCUGGCAUCUUUCCACCUACAGGUGUACACAUAUGCAUGGUCACCUUCUGCAUGCCGAGUCACAGUCUCAACUGAGCCAGAAGCUACACUUGAUGCUCUGUUCAUGAAUGGGGCAAUCAUGAAGGUUGGAGUUGCUACAGAUUCUUCUUACCAGGGAAAGGGUCUUACUGUUUUUAUCUUUUGGGCCACCAAAUUUGAAUCAACAUAAUGGCAGUGUCAUUGGCUUAAUGGUGAGAAAAUCAAAUCUUGUUGCUCCUUUAGCUCAGUUUGCUUUUGGACUGGGAAUAGAGCCUUGCAUUGAUGGAAUAAGGGCAUCAGUACUUUUGGACAAGUUCUGUCAACUUUUAGGAGGAACAAAAUCAAAGAGAUUUUGGGAAAAAUGAAAAAGAAAAUGAAGGUAGACAACAAACCCUAGGGCAUAUAUACUCUAUUAUUUCUUUUCUAUAUAAAAUUAUUAUUUUUCAAUUUCUUUUUUCGCUAGGCAAAUUAGCUUAAGAUUAAACAAGAUUUAAUGUGUUAAAUUUGUUAACAACUCUAUUAAUUUUUAAAAAUAAUUUAAAACUUAAAAUAAUAAACUCGUUAAUACCAUAAAAUUUUUAAUAUAAUAAAAUAUCUUUUUUCUUACAUAUAAUAAAAUAGUAUAUUUUCUACUAAAAAUAAUAAUUUAUGAUUUUAUUAUAAUAUUAUUGUUUAUGUUUUACUAAAAACUAUAUAUUUUUAAUUUAUUUUUAAUUACAAAAUUAUUUUUAUUUUCAAUAAGACUUCAAUUAAAUUUAAUUAAUUAAUAUUAUAUAAAUUGAAUUUAAAAUGUUUUUACAAAAUCAAAAUAUAUAUUUUUUAAAAAUAAUAAUAAUAAUAAUAAUAAUUUAUCUGAACAAGUCUUUUUGUUCUUUUAUUUUUAAAAUCCUUUUAUAAUAAUAAAUGAUCAAAUAUCCUUAAUUUUAUAAAACAUUAAAAAACUUUUUUUUUUUUAUUCUUUAACAUUAAAAAAGUUUCUAAAAAAACAUAAGAAAUCAUGAUCAAAUAAAAAAUUUUAAAAAUUAAUUAAAGCACUUAAUUGACUUGUAUUAAAAAUGAAUAUUAAAAUUGUUUUUAUAUUAUAGAAAUUUUUAUUUCACUACAAUAAAAAAAUUGUUUCAUAAUUUAAAAAAAAAUUAUUUAUCUUUAACUUAUAUAUAAUUGUGAAAUUAAUUUUUAUUUUUUAAUAAGACUUAACUUGAAUUUUAUUUCAUAUUAUUAUAAAUUAAUUUUAUAAAAUAAAAAUAAUAUAUUGUUUUUAAAAACAAUACAAAUUCUUUCAUUCAAACGAACUUCUUGUUUUUUGUAUUAAAACAUCAUGUCAAACACUCUAGUUUUUUAAAAAUUCUAAAAAACUAUUUUUAAAAACACCAAGAACAAGCCCUAUAUUUUUGCAAUUAUUCUGAUGCUUGGAUGAGAUAAGGAUGAAUACGUGUGUAAUGGCCAAGGCAUGCAUAGAAGGGCAUUUCUUUCAUGCUGCAAUUUUGAUCUCCAUGCAUGGGAUCCAAAAGACUCCAGAAGGUUAGAGGCACGUGCAUUCUGGAUGGCUAUCACACAUGCGCUCCGGGUGAGAUGGAGACAUGCAUUUGGCAUGACGAUGAGACUUUUGAGAAGGAUCCAUUUUCUUCCGGGACAUGACAUCAUGAUGGUUUCGAGAAGAGUCUCAUGUGAGGGAGCAUCACCAUAGGCCAUGCAAGGAAGUUAUUGCCAAUCACAUUUUUGAACUGCCAGGCAUUUAGGAGGCCGUUUUUGGGGAAGUCUCCGGAACAGGAAUCUUUUUGUUGAGGGAUGCACACCACACCGGGAAUGGCGUAACAACUGUAGUUCCAGAGACUUUUGAGGUUGAAAAAAUAGAGACUUCAUUACCGACGAAGAAGCUCUUUUUGGCAUUCUUGGAAAUGAGACUUCGUCGCCAACAUAGAGAUUUUGGGCAUUUUUUGGAGUAGGAGAGUUCAUCACCGACAGAGGGAGUCACUUUUUGGGUGUUUUAUGGAGGAGCGCAAAUUCUCAUUGAAAAAGGCAAGUUCAUAGCUGCCGGAGUAGUUCACCAUCGUUGAAGCUUGUGGUUCGUUUCAUCACUGUCGGAGUAGUUCGCCACCGUUGAAGCUCGCUGGUUCGUUUAUAGAGAGUCAUCACCGCCAUUAGAGUUCAUUAUCAUCAGAGAGCAAUAUUCCCCAUUGCAAUCCACCGAUAGUGAGAAAGGAUCAUCAGACACCCAUAUUUGGAGCUUCAGGAUCUUCAUAUUCGAGGAUAGAAUCGCCAUUUUCCUUGGGAUAUCCAUUUUUCUGAGGGAACAAGAGAUCACACUUGCAUCAUUAUUCUUUUCUGGUUUCCGCGAACAUCACAGGAGAUUUUUCUACCAUUUCAAAUCAGUGCUCACCAUUCUUCACCCUCAUCUUGUCUGCAAGAGAUCGCCAUUCUUGUUAUCCUUUUUUCCUGCACUCUUUUUAACUUUUCUUUUUUUCGUUUGGUUGCCGAGAAAAUCUAUAUUUUCCUGUCCUUAAGUUUCUAGGAAACCACAAACUUGAAAGUAUAUUCUCGCCUUUCAAAUGGGUGUUUCCAAGAUUCCUGCUCUUUUUUUUUUUUUCUUUUUCUUUCCCUUCCUUUGAUUUCUCAGCAACAAAAAAGAUCAUAUUUGGAAAUUGUUCCGCAACUAGGAUCGCUAACCCAGUAGGUCAUUAACGAAAACUGUUUAGUUAAGAGGAAGAAUUUUUGUCAUGAUUUCCCCGGAACCCUAAUUUCUGUUUGGUUGCGCAGAAAAAACAGGGAAAGACUCUAUUUAUUUCAGUUUCAAACAAUCGCCUAUCCUUGGAUUUGCUAUUUCAGCUUGGAGUGUUUCUAGAGAGAGAGCUAAGAGGGAGGAGAUUGGAGGUUUAUGGUGAUCAGGUCUGAUGAAACAACUGUUUUGACUAAUCAUUCCACUAUUUAGAUUUCUUGAUUAUCUGGUUUGCUUGUCUAACUGUUUCAACCUGUUGAUGAUGCUCGAUUCUUUGUUUCUCGACGUUACUCCGCUGGGCCAUGCACUUUGUUUCCUUUCCGAAUAUAAAAUUUUGAAUGGAAAUUUUGAGGAAAUUAGGGUUUCCCAUGAUGAGAUUGGAUCUAUAAUUGUUGGAACCCAUGGUCAAAUUCUUGAAUUACUAUUUCGGGAUACCCUAAUUCCCUGUUUUUGGUAUAAAGAUAAAGAUUUCAGUUCAGUUUCAAGGCAAAGCUCUACAUUUAAUCUCUGUUUUGAUCUUCUUUAGCUAUGGAUGCCGACGAGCAUGGUAACAAACGGGUGUUUCAACGACUUGGAGCUUUGAAUUAUAGUGAAAAACAACAAAAGGUUUGUUACCAUUGGAGGGCGGGCAGGCAGGUGCAACAAGUUCCCCUAUCCGUACCUACCCAGAGAAUUACCAGGUCCUCCUCCCCAACAACACCAACCAUUCAUAAGCAAUGGAUCAUUGUCCAAAUGGCCAAAUCAAGGAGUACAUGACGAUCACAGCUUUUCUGGUGCAUGAAGAAGUCCUAAGUUUAAUCCUACGUGGGGGCCGGUUCACGACGGUGGUGCAGGCAAUAGAGCUCAAGGUAGUGGCGCGGGCAAUAGAGUAUUUAAGAAGAUUGAGAAGCUUUGUAAUUAUUGGCUUCAAGGAAAUUGUAGUUAUGGGGAUAAGUGCAAGUUUUUGCAUUCUUGGAGUGUUGGUGAUUGUUUCUCUGAGUUUGACAUAGCUUGAAGUGCAUCAGAAGGUAAUAAAUUUGUUUGAAUUUUGGUUACAUUUGGAGUUCUUGUGCAUUUGAAUGGAUGGGUUGAUUUAUGUUUAUUGGAGUUCCGCAACUAGGAUCGCUAACCCAGUAGGUCAUUAAUGGAAGCUGUUUAGUUAAGAGGAAGAAUUUUUGUCACGAUUUCCCUGGAACCCUAAUUUCUGUUUGGUUGCCCAGAAAAAAAAAACAAGGAAAGACAGAAAUUGACUGCCUGAACUUUGGAUGUUGCUUUUGCUUCGUAGGGUAUUAGAUCAUUAGAAGAUACUAAAAAAUAAAGAGUAAAAAACAAAAUGGUGGCUAUCAAGGUACAUAUUAGCUCUUAUUCUUAUCUAACUCCUUUUCUUUUCCUUUGUUUUGAAUUGUGAUCAAACUUUUCGUCUCCAUAAAUGUAGGGAAAAUUGAAUGCAGCUUCAAGUCAGGUUGCAGGAGAUCAAAAAAAUCUAAAGAGUGGUACAUUUUACAUUGUUUCUAUAAUGAGAAAUUUUAUAUUCUCAUGUAUUAUUAAUUGGAUGCUUAAUUUAGUUUAUAAAAAUUAUUAGUUUGAUUGUUUUGUUGAUACAAUGCUUAGUCUAGUUUCUUUUAAAAAUCAUUAGUUUGGUUAAUCUUUUGAUCUCAUGUUUAGUUUACUUUUCAAAAAAUCAUUAGUUUGGUUGGUUUGUUGAUGUUGUGCUUGGUAUAAUUCUUUUAAGAACCAUUAGUUUGGUUACUCUAUUAAUCUCAUACAUAGUUUAGUUUUUAAACAUUAUUUGUUUUACUAAGUUUAGUUUCUUUUAAAAAUCAUUAGUUCAAUUAGUCCGUUGAUCUCAUAUUUAGUUUAAUUUUUAAAUAUUAUUAGUAUGGUAUAUUUAUUGAUACUAUGCUUCGUUUAAUUUCUUUUAAAAAUCAUUAGUUUAGUUGUCCUUUUGAUCUUAUGCUUAGUUUAGUUUUGAAAAAUUAUAAGUUUUGUUGCUUUGUUGAUAUAAUGCACAAUUUCAUUUUCUUUAAAACAUAUUAGUUUAGUUAUUAUGUUGAUCUCAUGUUUUGUUUAGUUUUUAAAAAUUAUUAGUUUGGUUGCUUUGUUGAUAUCAUGGUUUGUUCAAUUUUUUUUUUAAAAUAAUUAGUUUAGUUAUUUAGUUAAUCUCAUUUUUAGUUUUGGUUUUAAAAAUUAUUAGUUUGGUUGCUUUGCUGAUAUUAUGCUUAGUUUAGUUUCAUUAAUGUGAAAUUAGUUUAGUUAUUCAAUUAAUCUAAUAUUUAGUUUCGUUUUGAAAAAUUAUUAGUUUGGUUACUCUGUCAAUUUGUUUGGUUUAAUUAUCCUAAAAAUCAUUGGUUAGAUUAUUUGUUUAAUCUCGUGCAUAGUUUAGUUUUACUUUAUUAGUUUGGUUGCUUUGUGGAUAUCACCUUUAGUUUAGUUUCUAUUAAAAAUCAUUAGUUGGGUUAUUCCGUUGAUCUCAUGUUUAGUUUAGUUUUUGAAAAUUAUUAGUUUGGUUGCUUUGUUGAUAUUUUGCUUAGUUUAAUUCUAUUAUUAGUUGAUCUCAUAUUUAGUUUAGUUUCUAAAAAAAUUAUUAGUUUGGUUGUUUUGUUCAUAUUAUGUUUUGUUUAGUUUCUUUUAAAAAUUGAUUUAGAAGCAAUCUAUAGGUGAAAAAAUCGAGCGUGGGGCAACGUGCGGUGACAAGCAGGGAGAGCACAAAAAAUCACCGAUUGUUUGAAUUUUAAAAAAAAAAUUAUGUAUAUUGAUAUUUUUUUAAUUAUUCAUUUUUAAUUUAUCUUUUAUUUUAAAUUUAUAUUAUCAUUUUAUUUUUAACUACUUUUCAUAUUUAUCUCAUUAAUCCUAUUUUAAAAAAUUAUUAUCACUUCACUUUUAAUUUUUUAUUUAUUCUUUUAAUUUUAUAUUUUAAAAAUAUAAUUUUACUAAAAAAUUGCUACAAUAUAAAAAAUUAAUGAAGUUUGAAUAUUUUAAAAAUUAAAAUUAAUUUGAUAAGAUAAAUUAUUAAUAAUUUUAAUUAUUUAAAAAAAUUAAUGUUAAUAAAAAAAGUUGUCAGCACAUAUUUAUAAUAAAAUUUUAGAAAUUAAAUCUCAAAUAAAAUAUUUUAUAGAAAUCAAUUUAAAUUUUUGUUUAAAAUGUAAUAAAACAUGUUUUAAUUUUUAAAAUAAAUGAAUAUAAAUAUAUUAAAGGAAUUUAAGCUAAUUUUUUUAAUAAAAAUUUGAUAAAUAUUAUCUAUAAUCGUAUUUAUGUUAAUUACACUUACAAAAGAACUUUAAUAUGUGUAUUUUUACUUAUUUUAUCAUUUUUUUUUAAGUUUUCUAAAUAUUUUCAUGAAUUUUGAACUAUUUCUCUUCUAUCAAUAUUUUUGUCAAAAUAUUCAUCGAUAUUUAUCCGAUAUAUUCAAUAUAUCCGUAAAAUCCAAGUACCGAUAUAUCCGUGUUUACCGAUAUUUUAAACCUUGGUUAUGCUUGGUAUAAUUCUUUUAAAAAUCAUUAGUUUGAUUACUUAAUUAAUCUCACACUUAGUUUAGUUUUUAAACAUUAUUAGUUUGCUUACUUUCAUGAUAUUAUACUAAGUUUAGUUUCUUUUAAAAAGUCAGUUAUCUCAUGUUUAGUUUAGUUUUGAAAAAUUAUUACUUUGGUUUCUUUGUUGAUAUUAUGCUUACUUUUGUUUUUGUUUUCUUUUUUUUGGAAAAAAAAAAAAACCAUUAGUUUGGUUGUUUUGUUCAUAUUAUGAUUUGUUUAGUUUCUUUUAAGAUUAUUAGUUUGGUUAUUCCUUUCAUCUUAUACUUAGUUUAGUUUAUAAAAAUUAUUAGUUUGGUUGCUUUGUUGAUAUUAUACUUAGCUUAGUUUCUUUUAAAAAUCAUUAGUUAUGUGGUUAUUCCAUUAAUCCCAUGUUUAGUUUAGUUUGUAAAAAAUUAUUAAUUUGGGUGCUUUGUUGAUAUUGUGCUUAGUUUAGUUUAUUUUAAAAAUGAUUAGCAUGGUUAUUUUUUUUUAAUCUCAUGCUUAAUUUAGUUUUGAAAAAUUAUUAGUUUGGUUAUUUUGUUGAUCUCAUGUUUAGUCUAGUUUUUAAAAAUUAUUAGUAUGGUUGGUUCAUUGAUAUUAUGCUUAGUUUAGUUUCCUUUAAAAAUCAUUAUGUUUUGUUUAGUUUUUCAGUUUAUCUCAUAUUUAGUUGAGGUUUAAAAAAUUAUUAGUUUUCUCAUCAUUGGGAUAAUAUCCUAGGUCCUAUAUAAGUUUAUUCUUUGUUUAUUUUGCUUUCCCGUCAUUGGGACGCCAUCGUAGGUUCUAAUAUAAGUAAAUGUUAGUUCAUUUCGUUUCUCAUCAAUAGGACUGCAUCCUAGAUUGAAUAUAAGUUUCUUCUCUCUUCAUUUGGUUUCUCAUCAUUUAGACACCAUCCUAGGUUCUAUGUAAGUUUCUUCUUUGUUACUAUUGUUUUUCAUCAUUGGGACAACAUCAUAGGUUGUACCUCAGUUUAUUCUGUGUUUAUUUCGUUUCUCAUCAUUCGGAGGCAAAGCUAGGUUCUAUCUAAACAUAAUCUUGUGUUCCAUUGGUUUCUCAUCAUUGGGACACAAUCCUAGGUUGUUUCUAAAUUUAAUCGUUUGUUCCUUUGUUUCUUGUCAAUGGAGCACCAUUCCAAGAUUCUAACAUAGUUUAUUCUUUAUUCAUGUGGUUUCUCAUUAUUGAGACAACAUCCUAGGUUGUAUCUAAGUUUCGUAUUUGUUUCUUUUGCUUUUUAUCAUUGCAGCACCAUUAAUUUCUAUUUCGUUUUAUUCUUUGUUCAUUUUGUGUCUGAUAAGUGGAAUGUUAUCCUAGGUUCUAUUUAAGCUUAAUUGUUUGUUCCAUUGGUUUCUCAUCAUUGGGACACCAUCCUAAGUUCUUUAUUAGUUUAUUCUAUCUUCAUUUGGUUUCUAAUUAUUGGGACGCCAUCCUAGGUUCUAUAUGUGCUUAAUCAUUUGGUUUCUAAUUAUUGGGAACAACUUAGGUUCUUUCUCAAUUUAUUCUUUGUUUGUUUGGUUUCAUAUCACUGGGAAGACAUCCUAGGUUUUGUAUAAGUUUAAUCGUUUGUUCAUUUGGUUUCUCAUCAUUGUGACACCCUCGCUUCUAUUUAGGUUUCUUCUUUGUUCCUUUGGUUUCUCAUCAUUAGGACACCAUCCUCUAUUCUAUCUUAGUUUAUUAUUUCUUUGUUUGGUUUUUCAUCAUUGGGGCAUCAUCCUUGGUUCUAUCUACAUUAAUCAUUUGUUUCUUUAGUUACUGAAUAUUAGGACACCAUCAUUGGUUUGAUUUUACUUUGAUGCUUAUUCCUUUGGUUUCUCAUCCUUAGGACAAUAUCCUGGGUUCUAUAUAAUGUUAUUAUUAUUUUUUAUUUACUUUCACAUUAUUGGGAUGCCAUCUUAAGUUCUAUCUAAAGCUUAAACGUUGGUUCCUUUUGUUCUCAUCAAUAGGACUACAUCCUAGGGUGAAUUGAAGUUUCUUCUUUGUUCCUUUGGUUACUAAUCAUUGGGAAACCAUCUCAGAUUCUAUCUAAAUUUCUUCUUUGUUACUUUUUUUUCUCCUCAUUGAGACACCAUCAUAUAUUUUUAUCACAUGUUAUUCUUUGUUCAUUUCGUUUCUCAUCAUUGGGAUGCAAAACUAGGUUUUAUAUAAAGAUAAUUGUUUGUUCCUUUGGUUUCUCAUCAUUGGGAAGCCAUCACAGGUUGUUUCAAAACUUAAUCAUUUGUUCCUUUGGUUUCUCGUCAUUGGGACACCAUCCUAUAUUCUAACUCAGUUUAUUUUUUGUCAAUUUGGUUUCUCAUCAUUGGAACACCAUUCUAGGUUGUAUCCAAGUUUCUUCUUUAUUACUUUUGUUUUUUAUCAUUAGGACACCAUUCUAGUUUCUAUAUCAGUUUAAUCUUUGUUCAUUUGGUUUCUGAUCAAUGGAAUGCUAUCCUAGGUUCUUUCUAAGCUUAAUCAUUUGUUCCUUCAUUUUCUCAUCAUUGGGACACCAUCCUAGGCUCUUUCUCAAUUUAUUCUUUGUUCAUCUGGUUUUUAAUUAUUGGGACGUCAUCCUAAGUUCUAUCUAAGUUUGCUUUUUGUUAGUUUUGUUUCUCAUCAUUGGGACACCAUUCUACUUUCUAAUUAUCCUUAAUCGUUUGUUCCUUUACUUUCUCAACAUUGGGACACGAUCAUAGGUUUGAUUUAAGUUUGAUGUUUGUUCCUUUGGUUUCUCAUCAUUGGGACACUAUCCUAGGUUAUAUCAUGUAUUCUUUGUUUAUUUGUUUUCCUAUGAUUCCAUUCUUGGUUCUAUCUUAUAGCUUAAACGUUAGUUCCUUUUGUUACUCAUCAAUAGGAUUGCAUCUUAGGCUGAAUCUAAGUUUCUUUUUUCUUCCUUUUUGUUUCUCAUCAAUGGGAUUGGUUCCCAGAUUCUAUCUAAGUUUCUUCUUUGUUACUUUAUUUUCUCAUCAUUGGGACACCAUCAUAGGUUUUGUUUAUUCUUUGUUCAUUUUGUUUAUCAUCAGUGGGAUGCGUAACUAGGUUCUAUAUAAACAUAAUCGUUUGUUCCUUUGAUUUCUCAAUAUUGGGUGGUUCUUUCUAAAGUUAAUCAAUUUGUCCUUUGGUUUCUCAUCAUUGGGACACCAUCUUAGGUUCUAUCUCAAUUUAUUUUUUGUUUAUUUGGGUUCUUAACAUUGGGUACUAUCCUAAGUUGUAUCUAAGUUUCUUAUUUGUUACUUUCGAUUCUCAUAAGUGGGACACCAUUCUAGUUUCUGUUUCUGUUUAUUCUUUGUUCAUUUGGUUUCUGAUCAGUGGAACGCUAUCCUAGGUUUUAUUUCAGCUUAAUUGUUUUUUCCUUUGGUUUGUCAUCGUUGGGACUCCAUCCUAGGUUCUUUCUACACUUAAUCAUAUGCUCUUUUUUUUUUUCUUGUCAUUUAGGACACCAUCAUAGGUUAUAUCUCGAUUUAUUCUUUGCUCAUUUGGUUUUUCAUCAUUGGGACACCAUCCUAAGAUGUAUCUAUGUUUCUUCUUUAUUACAUUUGUUUCUCAUCAUUGGGAAACCAUUCUAGUUUCUAUCUCAGUUUAUUCUAUGUUCAUUCUCAAUUUAAUAUUUGUUUCAUUUGAUUUCUAAUUAUUCGGAUGUCAUUCUAGGUUCUAAGUAUCUUUUCUAUUAUGUUUGUUUCUAAUUAUUGGGACAUCGUCCUAAGUUUUUUCUUUUUUCAUUUGGUUUCAUAUAUCAUUGGAAAGAUGAUAGGUUCAAUAUAAGCUUAAUAUUUUGUCUAUUUGGUUUCUCAUCAUUGCGACACCCUCCUAGGUUCUAUCUAGGUUUCCUCGUAUUUCUUCUUGUUUCUCAUCAUUAGGACACCAUCCUAUGUUCUAUGUUAGUUUAUUCUUUGUUUAUUUCAUUUCUCAUCAUUGGAACGUCAUCCUAGGUUUUAUCCAUGUUUCUUCUUUUUUCCUUUAGUUUCUCAUCUUCGCUACACUAUCCUACGUUUUAUCUCCGUUUUCUCUUUAUCUUUAAGAUGGAUUCUUAUGAGUGGUGCGCUUUAUUAAUACUUCUUAUCUUUAAAGGGAGAAAUUUCUUAUCGUUUUAGUGGCGAACUUAUGUUGUUAACUUACCGUUUUAUUUCCUGAAAAUGGUAUCACCUCCAAAGGAUGAGUGGUUUUUAAUAAUCUCCAAGACCUCUAUGAUCUUUUUGCCCGAAUCUCUAACCUUCAAAGGGUUAUAAGGUAAGUAUUUAGAGGCAAAAGCCAUGAGGAUUUUGGUAUCUAAGGGUUUCCAAAUUAGAGUUGAAUUUAAAUUCAUUUCUAAACUGAACAGGACUUUUCUUGCCAAUUAAGAGAACUAAAACCACUUGAGUUGGAUUAACCGCUUAAACACUUUUUAGAUGUACGUUUGAUUGCACAACAACUCUUGAAUUUUGAUGGAGAGAAAGCCAAUAUGUAAAAAGAUUUCUAUGUUCAAAUAAAAAUUAGAACAAAAUUCCCAACACAAAAACAAGAGUCAAUAUCGAACAAGGUUAUCGAAGAAUUCGACUCUGUACGAAUUUAACUCAUAAUCACUAUCACUAUUAGAAUCAUUCAUGGAUACAACAAAAGCUAACAUGUCAUUGGGAUUGUACCUUGCAUCUUCAAAAGUUAUAGAAGCACUGUCCUAUCUAAAUUUAAUAGUUUGUUCCUUUGGUUUCUCAUCGUUUGGCAACCAUCCAAGGUUUUAUGGAAGUUUAUUCUUUCUCCCUUUGGUUUCUCAUCUUUGGGAAGAAUUCGUAGGUUCUAUCUCAGGUCAUUCACUGUUUCCUUUGGUUUGUCAUCAUUGGGACGCCCCGUAGAACCUAUCUAUGUUUAAUUAUUUGUUUCUUUAAUGUCUCAUAGUUUGGGCACCAUCCUAGGUUCUAUUUAAGUUUAUUCUUCAAUCCUUCUAUUUCUAUUAUUGGAACGCGAUCUAGGUUUUAUCUAAGUUCAUUUGUUUGUUGCAUUCGUUUUUCAUCAUUGGGACAACUUUUUAGGUUCUAUCUAAAGCUUAUUCCUUUUUUCAAUUUGUAACUAAUCAUUGGGACAUGAUCCUUUGGUUUCUUAUCGUUUGGACAACAUCUAGGUUUUAUGGAAGUUUAUUCUUUCUCCCUUUGGUUUCUCAUCUUUGGGACGACAUUGUAGCUUCUUUCUAAGGUCAUUCAUUCUUUCCUUGGGUUUGUCAUCAUUGGGACGCCCCCUAGGCCCUAUCUAAGCUUAAUUUUUUGUUUCUUUAAUUUCUCAUCAUUUGGACACCAUCUUAGGUUCUAUCUAUGUUUAUUCUUCAUCUCUUUUGUUUCUUAUCGUUGGAACACCAUCUAGGUUUAAUCUAAGUUCAUUUUUUUGUUCCACUCGUUUUUCAUCAUUGGGACAGCUUUCUAGGUUCUAUCUAAGCCAUUCCUUUUUCCCAUUGGUAACUAAUCAUUGGGACAUGAUCUUUUCGUUUCUCAUUCUUUGGAAACCAUCUAGGUUUUAUGGAAGUUUAUUCUUUCUCCAUUUGGUUUCUUAUCUUUGGGACGAGAUCGUACGUUCUUUGUAAGGUCAUUCAUUCUUUACUUUGGUUUGUCAUCAUUAGGAUGCGCCCUAGGCCCUAUGUAAGCUUUAUUGUUUUUUCGUUUAAUUUCUCAUCGUUUAGACCAUGUCUUAGGUUCUAUCUAUGUUUAUUCUUCAUCCCUUUUGUUUCCUAUCAUUGGAACGUGAUCUAGGUAUUAUCUAAGUUCAUUUGUUUGUUCCACUCAUUUUUCAUAAAUGGGACAGCAUUCUGGGUUCUAUCUAAGGUCAUUCCUUUUUUCCAUUUGUAACUACUCGUUGGGACUUUUGCCUUUGGUUUCUCAUUGUUUGGACACCAUCUAGGUUUGACGGAUGUUUAUUCUUUCUCCAUUUGGUUUCUCAUUUUUUGAAGACAUCGUAUGUUCUUUCUAAGGUGAUUCAUUCUUUAGUCUGGUUUGUCAUCAUUGGGACGCCCCCUAGGCCCUAUCUAAGCUCAAUUAUUUGUUACUUUAAUUUCUCAUCGUUUGGACAACAUCCUAGGUUCUAUCUAUGUUUAUUCUUCAUCCCUUUUCUUUCCUAUGAUUGGAACACCAUUUAGGUUUUAUCUAAGUUCAUUAUUUUUUUUCCACUCGUUUUUCAUCACUAGGACAGCAUUCCAGGUUCUAUCGAAGGUCAUUCCUUUUUUCCAUUUGUAACUAAUCAUUGGGACAUGAUCGUUUGGUUUCUCAUGGUUUGGACACCAUCUAGGUUUUAUGGAAGUUUAUUCUCUCCCUUUGGUUUCUCAUCUUUGGGAUGACCUCAUAGGUUCUUUCUCUCAUUUAGUCUUUGGGACUUUUGCCUUUGGUUUCUCAUCGUUUGGACACCAUCUAGGUUUGAUGGAAGUUUAUUUUUCUCCAUUUGGUUUCUCAUUUUGGGACGACAUCGUAGGUUCUUUCUAAGGUGAUUCAUUCUUUACUUUGGUUUGUCAUCAUUGGGCCGCCCCCUAGGCCCUAUGUAGGCUUAAUUGUUUGUUGCUUUAAUUUCUCAUUGUUUACACACCAUCCUAUGUUCUAUCUAUGUUUAUUCUUCAUCCCUUUUGUUUCCUAUCAUUGGAACGCGUUCUAGGUUUUAUCUAAGUUCAUUUGUUUGUUCCACUCGUUUUUCAUCAUUAGGAUAACUUUCUAGGUUCUAUAUAUGCUCAUUCCAUUUUUCCAUUUUUCCAUUUGUAACUAAUCAUUGGGACACGAACCUUUUCUUUCUCACUGUUUGGACACCAUCUAGGUUUGGUGGAAGUUUAUUCUUUCUCCCUUUGGUUUCUCAUCUUUGGGACGACAUCGUAGCUUCUUUGUAAGGUCAUUCAUUCUUUCCUUUUGGUUUCUCAUCAUUGGACGUCCCGUAGGCCCUAUCAAAGCUUAAUUUUUUGUUCCUUUAAUUUCUCAUUCAUUCAUUCUUUCCUUUAAUUUUUUGUUCCUUUAUUCUUCAUCCCUUUUGGUUCCUAUUAUUGGCACAUGAUCUAAGGUUUUAUCUAAGUUCGUUUGUUAGUUCCUCUCGUUUCUCAUUAGUGGGCAACAUUCUAGGUUCUAUCUAAGGUCAUUCCUUUUUUCCAUUUGUAACUAAUCAUUGGGACAUGAACAUUUGGUUUCUCAUUGUUUGGACAUAAUCUAGGUUUAAUGGAAGUUUAUUCUUUCUCCCUUUGGUUUCUCAUCUUUGGGAUGACAUUGUAGGUUCUAUCUCAUGUGAUUCAUUCUUUCCUUUGGUUUGUCAUCAUUAGGACACACCGUAGGCUUUAUCUAAGCUUAAUUAUUUGUUUCUUUAAUUUCUCAUCGUUUGGACACCAUCCUCGGUUCUAUGUUUAUUCUUCAUCCCUUUUGUUUCCUAUGAUUGGAACACGAUCUAGGUUUUAUCCAAGUUCAUUGGUUUGUUCCACUCGUUUUUCAUCACUGGGACAGCUUUCUAGGUUCUAUCUAGGCUCAUUCCCUUUUUCUAUUUGUAACUAAUCAUUGGGACAUGAUCCUUUGGUUUAUAAUUGUUUGGAAACUAUCCAGGUUUUAUGGAAGUUUAUUCUUUCUCCAUUUGGUUUCUCAUCUUUGGGAUGACAUCGUAGGCUCUAUUUAAGGUCAUUCAUUCUUUCCUUUGGUUUGUCAUCAUUAGGACGCCCCAUAGACCCUAUGGAAGUUUAGACGCAAUCAAGGUUUGCUCGAAGUUUAUUCUUUCUCCCUUUGGUUUCUCAUCUUUCUGACGACAUCGUAGGUUCUAAGGUCAUUGAUGCUUUCCUUUAGUUUGUCUUCAUUGGCACGCCUCCUAGGCCCUAUCUAAGCUUAAUUAUUUGUUCCUUUAACUUCUCAUCGUUUAGACACUAUCCUGGGUUCUAUCUAUGUUUAUUCUUCAUCUCUUUUGUUUCCUAUCGUUGGAUUGCGAUCUAGGUUUUAUCUAAGUUCAUUUGUUUGUUCCACUUGUUUUUCAUCUUUGGGACAACUUUCUAGGUUGUAUCUAAGCUCAUUCCUUUUUUCCAUUUGUACUAAUCAUUGGGACAUGAUCCUUUGGAUUCUCAUCGUUUGGACACCAUCUAGGUUUUUUGGAAGUUUAUUCCUUGUCCCUGUGGUUUCUCAUCUUUGGGACGACAUCAUAGCUUCUUUCUAAGGUCAUUCAUUUUUACCUUCAGUUUGUCAUCAUUGGGAUGCCCCUUAGGCCCUAUCUAAGCUUAAUUGUUUGUUCCUUUAAUUUCUCAUCGUUUGGACACCAUCCUAGGUUCUGUCUAUGUUUAGUCUUUGUCCCUUUAGUUUCCUAUGAUUGGAACACCAUCUAGGUUUAAUCCAUGUUCAUUUGUCUUUUCCACUCGGUUUUCAUCAUUGGGAUAGCUUUCUAGGUUCUAUUAUGCUGAUUCCUUUUUUCCAUUUGUAACUAAUCACUGGGACUCGAUCCAUUGGUUUCUCACCGUUUCGACACCAUCUAGGUUUGAUGGAAGUUUAUUCUUUCUCCCUUUGGUUUCUCAUCUUUGCGACGACUUUGUAGCUUCUUUCUAUGGUCAUUCAUUCUUCAAUUUGGUUUUUCAUUAUUGGGACGCCCCGUAGGCCCUAUCUAAGCUUAAUUGUAUGUUCCUUUAAUUUCUCAUCGUUUAGACACCAUCCUAGGUUUUGUCUAUGUUUAUUCUUCAUCCCUUUCGUUUCCUAUUAUUGGAAUGGCAUCUAGGUUAUAUCUAAGUUCAUUUGUUUGUUCCACUUGUUUUCAAUCGUUUGGACUGCUUUUUAGGUUCUAUCUAAGCUCAUUCCUUUUUUCCAUUUGUAACUAAUCAUUUGGACAUGAAGCUUUGGUUUCUCAUUGUAACACCUAGUACUAAUGAAUUAAAUAGGCAAUAAUGAUUAUUUUAGUACUUAACUUUAAGCUUGCUUAAUUAGAUGUUAAAACUAUUUAGUGCUAAUCAUAUUUAAUUAUGAAUUAAACUUUGAUUAUGGUUAAGUGGGAUUAGUUAAUGACCUAAGCAUGCUUAUUAGGUUCUUAGGGACUAAUUAGGGUUAUGAAAACCUAAAGGACUAAUGGGCAAUUAUGGGUUUUAUUUUUGAUAACUUGAAGGACUAAAGUGCAAAAUUUGGAAAUUGGAGUUAGUGGAAUGCCACCUCCUACUUGGGUGAUUGGUGGCAGCCAUGUGGGCGGCCACCUCAUGCUUGGGUGCUUGGAGACCCCUUUAUAAGGGGGCUGCAGCUCGUUUUGCACCAUUUCACCUGCAGCAACUUGGGUUAGAGAGAGAAAGUGUAGAUUUGAGGUAAGCAAGUUGUUUAAUUUUGUAAUUUUCGUUUAUUUUGGUUCCUAAUGGUAUGUUGAAUAGAAUUAACGGUUAAAAUUGUGUAAAAGUUGAGUAUAAUUAGCUAUAAACCUGUUUUAGUUAAAAAUCACAAUUAAUUAAAGAUUAAAGUAUUUUAAGUUAAGUAUUUUAUUAAUGGUAAGAUCAGCAUAAAUCUUUGUUUAAUUUGGUUUGAUUGAAAAAUAGAUUAGUAAACAUGUGAUGAAUUGGGUUAUUUGGACACUUGGGAUUUGUUAAUAGGUUAGGCUUUAAGAAAAUCAAAAGAAUUAGUGUUUGGUAAUUAAUUAGGGAAAUUAAUAUGCAUUGUAAAUAUUGUUUAAUUCAAUUCAAAUUUGAUCUGAAAACAUGUAGGAUAUAGAUUAGAGAAUGUGAGAAUUAAAAAUUUGCAACAAUAAACUAUAUAAAUUUUCAUGGUUAGGAAACCUAAAUUAUGUUGUUUCAUUUCAGUUCCUCGUAAUAGGCAAAGAUCGCCUACUUAGAAGAAACACAAAAAGGAAGUCGGUGUAAGGUAGGGAAUUUUAUGCUAUUCUAUGGUGUAUCUGAUUUCUUUUCUUGAAUUAUUUGUUGGAAUUUUAUGUUAUUUCUAUGAUUUCAUAAAAUCUUUUAAAGUGUCAUUGCAUCUCGGUUUAUUGCAUUGAAAUGUUACCAUGAUGUUGGAACGUAUAUUGGUAUGAAGAUUCGUGGUUUUGUGUUGUCGAAAUGGUUUAUGGUGUGAUUGCAUUGCAAGAAGGAUAUGGAAUUAUCACAGAUCAUAUUCAGAGAAUUUAUUGGUGGCGAAGUGCUUAUGUGAUGCUACAGGCCUUAUCAUUUGAUAUAUUGUUUAUGUGGGACCGUGGGUCCUUGGGUGAAAGUCCCUAAAGCCCUCGAGGAAGACACUCCGAUGUGGGUGUAUGGGGUUGGUCCUGCCCUUGGGUAUGAGUCCCAAAAGACACGGGGUAUGACUUGCCCUUGGGUGAUGUCCCAGAAUAGUCAUUAUUAUAUUGAUCGAGUAUCUUGUGGAGCAUUGAUAUCUACUGUGUAGAUUAUUGGGAGUCAGCAAAUUAUCAGUUGUGAAAGGAUGGAUGGGGAAAAGCAAUGAUGAAACCAACAAACACAUGCAUACAUGUUUGGCAUGAUUACACAUUUGUUAAUGGUUAUGAAAUGUUCAUCAUGCAUGUUAUUAAACGUUUAAUUCAAGGUUUUACCUAGGAUGGUUAUAAACUUUCCUACUGAGUUGUGAACUCUACCUAUUCCUUCCACCCAUAGAUGCAGGUCAGAAGACCUAUGCAGGAAAGAAUGCUUGAGCAAUGCUUUACUGUGAUUGGAUGUUGUUUGCUCAUAUUGAAAGUCUUUUGAGGCCAUGCCUUUUGUAUCAAGACUACACCUUUUGUUGGAAUGAUGUAAUGUAUAUAUUUGUUAGAUACACUUGUAGUAUGGGCUACCCAUAGUAAACAAUGGGGUUUGGUAUAUGUAAAUUAAUGUUGUACAAGUUUCUUUUGUGAAACAAAACAUAUUUUGUUAACUUAAUAGUCACAAUGUUUAAUACAGGAUGUACUCUUUAUAACAGGUUUUCCAUCCUCUUUUUUAACAAAUUCAAGUAGGAACUCAACAUUUAAAUUUUUGAGAGCACUUAUACUAUAUUUGAGUAUCAAUUCUUUAGUUGAAGAAUAAAUAAUAAUCAUAAGAAAAAAAAAAAAAAAUUGGGGUGUGACAGUAUGAGUCCCAAAAGACAUGGGGUAUGACUUGCCCUUGGGUGAUGUUCCAGAAUAGUCAUUAUUAUAUUGACCGAGUAUCUUGUGGAGCAUUGAUAUCUGCUGUGUACAUUGUUGGGAGUCAGCAAUUUAUCAGUUGUGAAAGGAUGGAUGGGGAAAAGCAAUGAUGAAACCAACAAACACAUGCAUACAUGUUUGACAUGAUUACACAUUUGAUAAUGGUUAUGAAAUUUUUAUCAUGCAUGUUAUUAAACGUUUGAUUCAAGGUUUUUAAGGGUAUACCUAGGAUGGUUAUAAACUUUCCUACUGAGUUGUGAACUCACCCUAUCCCUUCCACCUCUAGAUGCAGGUCAGAAGACCUAUGUAGGAAAGAAUGCUUGAGCAAUGCUUUACUGUGAUUGGAUGCUGUUUGCUCAUAUGGAAAGUCUUUUGAGGCCAUGCCUUUUGUAUCAAGACUAAACCUUUUGUUGGAAUGAUGUAAUGUAUAUAUUUGUUAGAUACACUUGUAGUAUGGGCUACCCGUAGUAAACAAUGGGGUUUGGUAUAUGUAAAUUAAUGUUGUACAAGUUUCUUUUGUGAAACAAAACAUAUUUUGUUAACUUAAUAGUCACAAUGUUUAAUACAGGAUGUAAUCUUUAUAACAGGUUUUCCAUAUCCUCUUUUUGAACAAAUUCAAGUACGAACUCAACAUUUCAAUUUUGAGAGCACUUAUACUGUAUUUGAGUAUCAAUUGUUUAGUUGAAGAAUAAAUAAUAAUAAUAAUAAGAAAAAAAAAUGGGGUGUGACACUUUCUCCCUUAGGUUUCUCAUUGUUUGGACAUCAUCUAGUUUAUUCUUUCUCCCUUUGGGACGACAUCAUAGGUUCUAUCUAAGGUCAUUCAUUCUUUCCUUGGGUCUGUCAUCAUUGGGACACCCCCUAGGCCCUAUCUAAGGUUAAUUGUUUUUUCCUUUAAUUUUUCGUCCUUUGGAAACCAUCCUAGGUCCUAUCUAUAUUUAUUCUUCAUCCUUGUUGUUUACUAUUGGAACACCAUCUAGGUUUUAUCUAAGUUCAUUUUUUUGUUCCUCCAUUUUUUCAUCACUGGGACAGGUUUCUAGGUUCGAUCGAAGCUCAUUCCUUUUUUCCAUUAAUAACUAGUCAUUGGGACAUGAUCCUUUGGUUUCUCAUCGUUUGGACGCCAUCUAGGUUUUAUGGAAGUUUAUUCUUUCUCCCUUUGGUUUCUCAUAUUGGGGACGACAUCAUAGGUUUUUUCCUAAGGUUAUUCAUUCUUUUCUUUCGUUUGUCAUCAUUGGGACGCCCCCUAGGCCCUAUCUAAGCUUAAUUGUUUUUUAAUUUAAUUUCUCAUCGUUUGGACGCCAUCCUAGGUUUUAUCUAUGUUAAUUCUUCAUCCCUUUUGUUUCCUUUCAUUCGAACGCCAUCUAGGUAUUAUUUAAGUUCAUUUGUUUUUCAUCAUAGGGACGACUUUCUAGGUUCUAUCGAAGCUCAUUCCUUUUUUCCAUUUGUAACUAAUCAUUGGGACAUGAUCCUUUGGUUUCUCAUUGUUUGGACACCAUCUAGGUUUGAUGGAAGUUUAUUCUUUCUCUCUUUGGUUUCUCAUCUUUGCGACAACUUUGUAGCUUCUUUCUAUGGUCGUUCAUUCUUUAAUUUGGUUUGUCAUUAUUGGGACACCCUGUAGGCCAUAUCUAAGCUUAAUUGUAUGUUCCUUUAAUUUCUCAUCGUUUAGACACCAUCCUAGGUUUUGUCUAUUUUUAUUCUUCAUCCCUUUUGUUUCCACUUGUUUUCAAUCGUUUGGACUGCUUUCUAGGUUCUAUCUAAGCUCAUUCCUUUUUUCCAUUUGUAACUAAUCAUUCGGUCAUGAAGCUUUGGUUUCUCAUCAUUUGGACACCAUCAAGGUUUUAUUCAAGUUUAUUCUUUCUCCCUUAGGUUUCUCAUUGUUUGGACAUCAUCUACUUUAUUCUUUCUCCCUUUGGUUUUCUCAUCUUUGGGAGGACAUCAUAGGUUCUAUCUAAGGUCAUUCAUACUUUGCUUGGGUCUGUCAUCAUUGGGACGCCCCCUAGGCCCUAUCUCAGGUUAAUUGUUUUUUCCUUUAAUUUGUCGUCAUUUGGAAACCAUCCUAGGUCCUAUCUAUAUUUAUUCUUCAUCCCUUUUGUUUACUAUCAUUGGAACACCAUCUAGGUUUUAUCUAAGUUCAGUUUUUUGUUCCUCCAUUUUUUCAUCAUUGGGACAGGUUUCUAGGUUCGAUCGAAGCUCAUUCCUUUUUUCCAUUAAUAACUAGUCAUUGGGACAUGAUCCUUUGGUUUCCCAUCGUUUGGACGCCAUCUAGGUUUUCUGAAAGUUUAUUCUUUCUCCCUUUGGUUUCUCAUAUUGGGGACGACAUCAUAGGUUUUUUCUAAGGUCAUUCAUUCUUUUAUUUCGUUUGUCAUCAUUGGGUCGCCCCUUAGGCCCUAUCUAAGCUUAAUUGUUUUUUCCUUUAAGUUCUCAUCGUUUGGACACCAUCCUAGGUUUUAUCUAUGUUAAUUCUUCAUCCCUUUUGUUUCCUAUCAUUCGAAUGCCAUCUAGGUAUUAUUUAAGUUCAUUUGUUUUUCAUCACAAGGACAACUUUCUAGGUUCUAUCGAAGCUCGUUCCUUUUUUCCAUUUGUAACUAAUCAUUAGGACAUGAUCGUUUGGUUUCUCAUCGUUUGGACACCAUCUAGGUUUUAUGGAAGUUUAUUCCUUCUCCCUUUAGUUUCUUAUAUUGGGGACGACGUCAUAGGUUUUUUCUAAGGUCAUUCAUUCUUUUCUUUCGUUUGUCAUCAUUGGAAAGCCCCCAAGGCCCUAUCUAAGCUUAAUUGUAUGUUCCUUUAAUUUCUCAAUGUUUAGACACCAUCCUAGGUUCUAUCAAUGUUUAUUCUUCAUCUGUUUGGUUUCCUAUCAUUAGAAGGCAAUCUCGGAUUAUUCUAAGUUCAUUGGUUAGUUCCACUCAUUUUUUUUCAUUGGGACAACUUUCUUGGUUCUAUCUUAACUGAUGUGUUUUUUCCAUUUGUAACUAAUCAUUGGAACAUAAUCCUUUAGUUUCUCAUCGUUUGGAAACAAUCUAGGUUUAAAGGAAGUUUAUUCUUUCUCAUUUUGGGACAUCGUAUGUUCUUUCUAAGGUCAUUUAUUCUUUACCUUGGUUUGUGAUCAUUGGAACGCGGACAGGCCCUAUCUAAGCUUAAUAUUUUGUUCCUUUAAUUUCUCAAAUUCUUCAUCCUUGUUGUUUUUUGUCACUGGACGCCAUCUAAAUUUUAUCUAAGUUCAUUUAUUUGUUCUACUCGUUUUUCGUCAUUGGGACAACUUUCUAGGUUCUAUCUAAGCUCAUUCCUUUUUUCCAUUUAUAACUAAUCAUUGGGACAUGAUCCUUUGGUUUUUCAUUGUUUAGACACCAUCUAGGUUUUAUGGAAGUUUAUUCUUUCUCCAUUUGGUUUCUCAUUUUGGGACGACAUCGUCGGUUCUUUCUAAGGUCAUUCAUUCUUUACUUUGGUUUGUCAUGAUGGGGAUGCACCCUAGGCGCUAUCUAAGCUUAAUUGUUUGUUCCUUUAAUUUGUCAUCGUUUAGACCUCAUCCUAAUCUCAGUUCAUUUGUUUGUUCUACUCAAUUUUCGUCAUUGGGACAGCUUUCUAGGUUCUAUCUUAGCUGAUUACUUUUUUCCAUUUGUAAAUAAUCAUUGGGACACGAGACUUAUGUUUCUCACUUGCUCGAUACUAUCUAGGUUUGACGGAAGUUUAUUCUCUCCCUUUGGUUUCUCAUCUUUGGGAUGACAUCAUAGGUUCUUUCUAAGGUCAUUAUUCUUUACUUUGGUUUGUCGUCAUGGGGACGGCCCCUAGGCCCUAUCUAAGCUUAAUUGUUUGUUCAUUUAAUUUCUCACCAUUUUAGACACCAUCCUAGGUUCUAUCUAUUUUUAUUCUUCAUCCCUUUUGUUUGCUAUCAUUGGAAUACCAUUUAGGUUUGAUCUAAGUUCAUUGCUUUGUUCCACUCGUUUUUCAUCAUUGGGACAACUUUUUAGGUUCUAUCUAUGCUUGUUCCAUUUUUCCAUUUGUAACUAAUCAUUAGGACACGAAACUUUGGUUUCUAAUUGGGUGGACACCAUCUAGGUUUGAUGGAUGUUUAUCCUUUCUUCCUUUGGGACGACAUUGUAGGUUCUAAGGUCAUUCAUUCUUUCCUUUGAUUUGUCAUAAUUGGCACGCCCCUUUGGCCCUAUCUAAGCUCAUUACUUUUUUUGAUUUUUAACUAAUCAUCGGGACAUGAACCUUUGGUGCCUCAUCGUUUCGACACAAUCCCUUGGAUGGAAGUUUAUUCUUUGUCUAUUUGGUUUCUCAUUUUGUGAUGACAUCGUAGGUUCUUUCUAAGGUCAUUCAUUCUUUACUUUGGUUUAUCAUCAUUGGGACGUCCAUUAGGCCCUAUCUAACAUAAUUGUUUGCUCCUUUAAGUUCUCACCAUUUAGACACGAUACUAGGUUCUAUCUUUGUUUAUUCUUCAUCCCUUUUGUUUCCUAUCAUUGGAUCGCCAUCUAGGUUUUAUCCAAGAUCAUUUACUUGUUCUACACGUUUUUUGUCAUUGGGAUGCCCAUUCGACCCUAUCUAAGCUUAAUUGUUUGUUCCUUUAAUUUCUCACCGUUUAGACACCAUCCUAGUUCUGUCUAUGUUCAUUCUUCAUCCUUUUGUUUGCAUUAUUGGAACGCCAUCUAGAUUUUAUCUAAGUUGAUUUAUUUAUUCUACUCGCUUUUUGUCAUUGGGAAAGCUUUCUAGGUUGUAUCCAGUCCUUUUUUCCAUUUGUAACUAAUCAUUGGGACAUGAUCCUUUGGUUUCUCAUUGUUUGGACACCAUCUAGGUUUUAUGGAAGUUUAUUCUUUCUCCAUUUGGUUUCUCAUUUUGGGACGACAUCGUCGGUUCUUUCUAAGGUCAUUCAUUCUUUACUUUGGUUUGUCAUCAUGAGGACGCCCCCUAAGCGCUAUCUAAGCUUAAUUGUUUGUUCCUUUAAUUUCUCAUCGUUUAGACCUCAUCCUAGCUUCUGUCAAUGUUUAUUCUUCAUCCCUUUUGUUUCCUAUCAUUGGAACGCCAUAUGUAUUUUACCUAAGUUCAUUUAUUUGUUCUACUCGUUUUUCGUCAUUGGGACAGCUUUCUAGAUUCUAUCUAAGCUCAUUCCUUUUUUCCAUUUGUAACUAAUCAUUGGGACAAGUUCCUUUGGUUUCGCAUCGUUUGGACACCAUCUAGGUUUGAUGGAUGUUUAUUCUUUCUCAUUUUUGGACGACAACGUAGGUUCUUUCUAAGGUCAUUGAUUCUUUACUUUGGUUUGUCAACAUUGGGACGCCCCCUAGGCGCUAUCUAAGCUAAAUUGUUUGUUCCUUUAAUUUUUCACCGUUUAGACAUCAUCCUAGGUUCUGCACAUGUUUACACUUCAUCCAUUUUGUUUCGUUUCAUUGGAAAACCAUCUAGGUUUAAUCUAAGUUCAUUUGUCUAUUCCACUCGUUUUUCAUCAUUGGGACAGCUUUCUAGGUUCUAUCUAUGCUCAUUCCAUUUUGCCAUUUGUAACUAAUCAUUGGGACAUGAUCAAGGUUUCGCAUCGUUUGGACACCAUCUAGGUUUGAUGGAUGUUUAUUCUUUCUCAAUUCCGUUUCUCAUUUUUGGACGACAUUGUAGGUUUUUUCUAAGGUCAUUCAUUCUUUACUUUGGUUUGUCAUCAUGGGGACGCCCCCUAUGCGCUAUCUAAGCUUAAUUGUUUGUUCCUUUAAUUUCUCACCGUUUAGACACCAUCCUAGGUUCUGUGUAUGUUUAUACUUCAUCCAUUUUGUUUCGUAUCAUUGGAACACCAUCUAGGUUUAAUCUAAGUUCAUUUGUCUAUUCCACUCGUUUUUCAUCAUUGGGACAGCUUUCUAGGUUCUAUAGGCUCAUUCCAUUUUUCCAUUUGUAACUAAUCAUUAGGACAUGAUCCUUUGGUUUCGCAUCGUUUGGACACCAUCUAGGUUUGAUGGAUGUUUAUUCUUUCAAAAUUUCGGAUGACAUCGUAGGUUCUUUCUAAGGUCCUUCAUUUUUUACUUUGGUUUGUCAUCAUGGGGACGCCCCCUAGCGGCUAUCUCAGCUGAACUGUUUGUUCCAUUAAUUUCCCACCAUUUAGAAAACAUCCUUGGUUCUGCGUAUGUUUAUACUUCAUCCCUUUUGUUUCCUAUCUUGGGGAUGCCCCCUAGGCGCUAUCUAAGCUGAAUUGUUUAUUCCUUUAAUUUCUCACCAUUUAGACAACAUCCUAGGUUCUGCGUAUGUUUAUACUUCAUCCCUUGUGUUUCCAUAUCAUCAGAACGCCAUCUAGAUUUUUUCUAAGUUCAUUUAGGUUUUCUACUCGUUUUUCGUCAUUUGGACAGCUUUCUAGGUUCUAUGUAAGCUUAUUACUUUUUUCCAUUUGCAUCCACUCUUUAAGACAUGAUCCUUUGGUUUCUCAUCGUUUUGACACCAUCUAGGUUGUAUGGUAGUUUCUUCUUUCUCCAUUUGGUUUCUCAUUUUGGGAGGAUAUUGUAGGUUUUUUCAAAGGUCAUGCAUUCUUUACUUUGGUUUGUCAUCAUUGGGACGCCCCCUAGGCGCUAUCUAAGCUAAAUUGUUUGUUCCUUUAAUUUUUCACCGUUUAGACACCAUCUUAGGUUCUGCGCAUGUUUACACUUCAUCCAUUUUGUUUCAUUUCAUUGGAACACCAUCUAGGUUUUAUCUAAGUUCAUUUGUCUAUUCCACUCGUUUUUCAUCAUUGGGACAGCUUUCAAGGUUCUAUCUAUGCUCAUUCCAUUUUGCCAUUUGUAACUAAUCAUUGGGACAUGAUCCUUUGGUUUCGCAUCGUUUGGACACCAUCUAGGUUUGAUGGAUGUUUAUUCUUUCUCAAUUCCGUUUCUCAUUUUUGGACGACAUUGUAGGUUUUUUCUAAGGUCAUUCAUUCUUAUCUUUGGUUUGUCAUCAUGGGGACACCCCCUAUGUGCUAUCUAAGCUUAAUUGUUUGUUCCUUUAAUUUCUCACCGUUUAGACACCAUCCUAGGUUCUGUGUAUGUUGAUACUUCAUCCAUUUUGUUUCCUAUCAUUGGAACACCAUCUGGGUUUAAUCUAAGUUCAUUUGUCUAUUCCACUCGUUUUUCAUCAUUGGGAAAGCUUUCUAGGUUCUAUAGACUCAUUCCAUUUUUCCAUUUGUAACUAAUCAUUGGGACAUGAUCCUUUGGUUUCGCAUCGUUUGGACACCAUCUAGGUUUGAUGGAUGUUUAUUCUUUCAAAAUUUUGGACGACAUUGUAGGUUCUUUCUAAGGUCAUUCAUUUUUUACUUUGGUUUGUCAUCAUGGGGACACCCCCUAGGCACUAUCCAAGCUUAAUGUUUUGUUCCUUUAAUUUCUCACCGUUUAGACACCAUCCUAGGUUCUGCGUAUGUUUAUACUUCGUCCAUUUUGUUUCCUGUCAUUGGAACACCAUCUAGGUUUAAUCUAAGUUCAUUUGUCUAUUCCACUCGUUUUUCAACAUUGGGACAGCUUUUUAGGUUCUAUCUAUGCUCAUUCCAGUUUUCCAUUUGUAACUAAUCAUUGGGACAUGAUCCUUUGGUUUUGCAUCGUUUGGACACCAUCUAGGUUUGUUGGAUGUUUAUUCUUUCUCAUCGUUUCUCAUUUUUGGACGCCAUCGUAGGUUUUUUCUUAGGUCAUUCAUUCUUUACUUUCGGUUUGUGAUCAUGGGGACGCCCCCUAGGCGGCUAUCUAAGCUGAACUGUUUGUUCCUUUAAUUUCUCACCAUUUAGAAAACAUCCUUGGUUCUGCGUAUGUUUAUACUUCAUCCCUUUUGUUUCCUAUCAUGGGGACGCCCCCUAGGCGGCUAUCUAAGCUGAAUUGUCUUUUCCUUUAAUUUCUCACCAUUUAGACAACUCCUAGGUUCUGCGUAUGUUUAUACUUCAUCCCUUGUGUUUCCUAUCAUCAGAAUGCCAUCUAGAUUUUAUCUAAGUUCAUUUAGGUUUUCUACUCGUUUUUCGUCAUUGGGACAACUUUCUAGGCUCUAUCUAAGCUCAUUCCAUAUUUCCACUUGUAACUAAUCAUUGGGACAAGAUCCUUUGGCUUCGCAUCGUUUGGACACCAUCUAGGUUUGAUGGAUGUUUAUUCUUUCUCAAUUUCGUUUCUCAUUUUUGGACUACAUCGUAGGUUGUUUCUAAGGUCAUUCAUUCUUUACUUUGAUUUGUCAUCAUGGGGAUGCCCCCUAGGCUCUAUCUAAGCUUAAUUGUUUGUUGCGUUAAUUUCCCACCGUUAAGACGCCAUCCUAGGUUCUGCGUAUGUUUAUACUUCAUCCAUUUUGUUUCCUAUCAUUGGAACACCAUCUAGGUUUAAUCAAAGUGUAUUUGUCUAUUCCACUCGUUUUUCAUCAUUGGGACAACUUUCUAGGUUCUAUAUAUGCUCAUUCCUUUUUUCCAUUUGUAACUAAUCAUUGUGACAUGAUCCUUUGGUUUCGCAUCACUUGGACACCAUCUAGGUUUGAUGGAUGUUUAUUCUUUCUCAAUUUCGUUUCUCAUUUUUGGACUACAUCGUAGGUUCUUUCUAAGGUCAUUCAUUCUUUACUUUGAUUUGUCAUCAUGGGGACGCCCCCUAGGCGCUAUCUAAGCUUAAUUGUUUAUUCCGUUAAUUUCCCACCGUUAAGACGCCAUCCUAGGUUCUGCGUAUGUUUAUACUUCAUCCAUUUUGUUUCCUANNNNNNNNNNNNNNNNNNNNNNNNNNNNNNNNNNNNNNNNNNNNNNNNNNNNNNNNNNNNNNNNNNNNNNNNNNNNNNNNNNNNNNNNNNNNNNNNNNNNAUUCCACUCGUUUUUCAUCACUGGGACAGCUUUCUAGGUUCUAUCUAUGCUCAUUCCAUUUUUCCAUUUGUAACUAAUUAUUGGGACAUGAUCCUUAGGUUUGGCAUCGUUUGGACACCAUCUAGGUUUAUUGGAUGUUUAUUCUUUCAAAAUUUCGGACGACAUCGUAGCUUCUUUCUAUGGUCAUUCAUUUUUUACUUUGGUUUGUCAUCAUGGGGACGCCCCCUAGGCGCUAUCCAAGCUUAAUUGUUUGUUCCUUUAAUUUCUCAUCGUUUAGACACCAUCCUAGGUUCUGCGUAUGUUUAUACUUCAUCCAUUUUGUUUCCUAUCAUUGGCACACCAUCUAGGUUUAAUCUAAGUUCAUUUGUCUAUUCCACUCGUUUUUCAACAUUGGGACAACUUUCUAGGUUCUAUCUAUGCUCAUUCCAGUUUUCCAUUUGUAACUAACAAUUGGGACAUGAUCGUUCGGUUUCGCAUCCUUUGGACACCAUCUAGGUUUGAUGGAUGUUUAUUCUUUCUCAAUUUCGAACGACAUCGUAGGUUCUUUCUAAGGUCAUUCAUUUUUUACUUUGGUUUUUCAUCAUGGGGAUUCCCCUAGGCGCUAUCCAACCUUAAUUGUUUGUUCCUUUAAUUUCUCACCGUUUAGACACCAUCCUAGGUUCUACGUAUGUUUAUACUUCAUCCAUUUUUUUUCCUAUCAUUGGAACGCCAUCUAGGUUUUAUCUAAGUUCAUUUGUCUAUUCCACUCGUUUUUCAACAUUGGGACAACUUUCUAGGUUCUAUCUAUGCUCAUUCCAGUUUUCCAUUUGUAACUAACAAUUGGGACAUGAUCGUUCGGUUUCGCAUCCUUUGGACACCAUCUAGGUUUGAUGGAUGUUUAUUCUUUCUCAAUUUCGAACGACAUCGUAGGUUCUUUCUAAGGUCAUUCAUUUUUUACUUUGGUUUUUCAUCAUGGGGACGCCCCUAGGCGCUAUCCAACCUUAAUUGUUUGUUCCUUUAAUUUCUCACCGUUUGGACACCAUCCUAGGUUCUGCGUAUGUUUAUACUUCAUCCAUUUUUUUUCCUAUCAUUGGAACGCCAUCUAGGUUUUAUCUAAGUUCAUUUGUCUAUUCCACUCGUUUUACAACAUUGGGACAGCUUUCUAGGUUCUUUCUAUGCUCAUUCCAGUUUUCCAUUUGUAACUAAUCAUUGGGACAUGAUCCUUUGGUUUUGCAUCGUUUGGGCACCAUCUAGGUUUGUUGGAUGCAAGGAUUGAAAUAUCGGUUUUUACGGAUAUAUCGGAAUUAUCGGAGAAAUAUCGGUGGAUAUUUUUUCACAAAUAUCGAUAGAGUGAAAAUUAUUUAAAAUUAAUAGGAAUUCUUGAAAAAACUUCAAAAAAUGAUAAAAUAAGUAAAAAUGCACAUUUUAAAGUUAUCUUGUAAGUGUAAUUGACAUAUAUAUAAUUAAGAAGAAAAAUAUCGUAAACAAAGAUAUAUUGGUAGAUUCGAUAUUUGAAUUUUAAAAAUAAUAUAUAUGAAUUUUGAAAGUAUAUAGAGUUAGAAUUGAGUUAAAAAAUAUUUGAUUUUAUUAAAUAAAAAUAAUUUAUACAUAAAUAUAAUACAUAUGAUAUUACAAUAGUCCUUAUAUUAAGGAAAAGAUCGAUGUGAUUUCAUUAUAUUGUUAGAUGAAGAUGACCCAAUUUGUUGAAGAUAAUAUUUAUUUAAAAUAUUUUAAAUAUUUUUCUAAAACAUGUUUAUUAAUAUUUUAAAUGAAAAUAAAUUAAUUAUAUAAAUAUUUAUUUNNNNNNNNNNNNNNNNNNNNNNNNNNNNNNNNNNNNNNNNNNNNNNNNNNNNNNNNNNNNNNNNNNNNNNNNNNNNNNNNNNNNNNNNNNNNNNNNNNNNCUUGACCUGGGUGACAAUGGCAAUGAAUUAAUAUCAAGUAGAGUGCUAGGUCGGAACCCAUACACCACUUCGAAUGGAGUGCAGCCUGUUGUCUUGUUAAUAGAAUUAUUGAAAGUAAAUUCGGCAUUAUCCUAUAGGUAUGUUGGAUUGGAAAUAUAAGGCCCGAGCUACGUUUAGGAUGUGUUGGUGUUUACGCUCAACAACCGAGUUUUGUUGAGGAGUUUCAACACAAGAGAAAAAAUGGAGCACACCAAGUUGGGUAAAGAGAUUGGAGAGGUUUAAUUCAGGGGCAUUGUCACUGCGAACUGCUUUAAUGGUGAGACCAAACUGGGUUUUAACCAUGGAGAAAAAUUAUGGAAAAAUGGUCUUGACAUCAGAUUUAGCACGUAGAAGAUGAACCCAUGUAUUCUUUGUACAAUCAUCAACGAUUGUCAAAAAAUAACGAAAUUCAUCAUGUGUGGGAAUAUGAAAUGGACCCCAAAUAUCACAGUGUAUGAGAUCAAAUGGAGAAGGAGAUAAAUUAUUAUGACAAUCAAAUGGCAAACGUUUUUGUUUUGCCAGAGGGCAAAUUGAACAAGAAAGAUUGGUAUUGCCAUUACUUUGCAACUGUAAAUGAGGUUUCAAUACACUGAGUUUGACAUUGGAUGGGUGGCCUAAUCUGAAAUGCCACAAUUUGUUUACAUGAGCAGAAGUGUUGUUNNNNNNNNNNNNNNNNNNNNNNNNNNNNNNNNNNNNNNNNNNNNNNNNNNNNNNNNNNNNNNNNNNNNNNNNNNNNNNNNNNNNNNNNNNNNNNNNNNNNGAGUGAAAAUUAUUUAAAAUUAAUAGGAAUUCUUGAAAAAACUUCAAAAAAUGAUAAAAUAAGUAAAAAUGCACAUUUUAAAGUUAUCUUGUAAGUGUAAUUGACAUAUAUAUAAUUAAGAAGAAAAAUAUCGUAAACAAAGAUAUAUUGGUAGAUUCGAUAUUUGAAUUUUAAAAAUAAUAUAUAUGAAUUUUGAAAGUAUAUAGAGUUAGAAUUGAGUUAAAAAAUAUUUGAUUUUAUUAAAUAAAAAUAAUUUAUACAUAAAUAUAAUACAUAUGAUAUUACAAUAGUCCUUAUAUUAAGGAAAAGAUCGAUGUGAUUUCAUUAUAUUGUUAGAUGAAGAUGACCCAAUUUGUUGAAGAUAAUAUUUAUUUAAAAUAUUUUAAAAUAUUUUUCUUAAAACAUGUUUUAUUAUAUUUUAAAUGAAAAUUAAAUUAAUUUAUAUAAAUAUUUUAUUUGAGAUUUAAUUUUUAAAAUUUUAUUAAAAAUAUAUAGUAACAACUUUUUUUUAUUAAUAUUAAUUUAUUUAAUAAUUAAAAUAAAAUUUGAUAAUUUAUAAUUAUUUAUAUGGAUAGAGGAAAAUUGUACAUGAUUUGGUUUUUUUUUUUACCUCUACUAAAUCUAAAAAUUAAAAGGGCCACCACUUUUGAAGUUGCCCUCCAGGCUCCAGCCGAGAGAAUUCCCCUUUUCUCUCCCCUUUUAUGAAGUUGCCCUCCAGCCGAGAGAGUUCCUAAAAAGGACCUAUCUUCCUCUGCCACUCUCAAUCCUCGCAGGUACUAAUUGAUAUUAUUUUUUUUUGCAACCCCCGUUUGAUUUCCAAGAAAAUCCAUCCCCCAUUCGAUUUCCAGGAAAAUUCAUCCUCGUUUGAUUUCCGAGAAAAUCCAUUAAAAACCCCCAAAGAAAACGAAAAAAUUUGCUUUUCUUUUGCUCCCUGUGAUUUCUGGAUCUGUUUUAAGGGUCUCUUUGUUGUUGUGCCAUUGGAUUUAAAUUUCACGAACCCUAAAUCCACGAUUUUUGAGCCAGAUUUUGUAUCCUGUGUGUGCGGGCUGGAUUGGUAGGAAAUAUCGGGAAAUUUUCCGAAAAAUCGGUAAAAAUACCGAAAUAUCGGCGAUUUUUUUUAAAUUCUCCUCCGAUGCUCCGCGCGUCAGUCCACUCGCGAUUUUUCUCCGAUAAAUCGGUGCUUCACCGAUAUUUCGUCGAUAUAUCGACGAUUUUGUCGAUUUUUUGCCGAUUUUUCCGUCGAUCGAUAAUCGGUGACGAUUAUCGUUUCGAUGCCGCCCGAUAUCCGAUAUUUCUUCGAAAUAUCGGCGAUAUUUUCCGAUUUUUCAAUCCCUGGUUGGAUGUUUAUUCUUUCUCAUCGUUUCUCAUUUUUGGACGCCAUCGUAGGUUCUUUCUUAGGUCAUUCAUUCUUUACUUUCGGUUUGUGAUCAUGGGGACGCCCCCCCUAGGCGGCUAUCUAAGCUGAACUGUUUGUUCCUUUAAUUUCUCACCAUUUAGAAAACAUCCUUGGUUCUGCGUAUGUUUAUACUUCAUCCCUUUUGUUUCCUAUCAUGGGGAUGCGCCCUAGGCGCUAUCUAAGCUGAAUUGUUUGUUCCUUUAAUUUCUCACCAUUUAGACAACAUCCUAGGUUCUGCGUGUGUUUAUACUUCAUCCCUUGUGUUUCCUAUCAUUAGAACACCAUCUAGAUUUUAUCUAAGUUCAUUUAGGUUUUCUACUCGUUUUUCGUCAUUUGGACAGCUUUCUAGGUUCUAUGUAAGCUUAUUCCUUUUAUCCAAUUGCAACUAAUCAUUAGGACAUGAUCCUUUGGUUUCUCAUUGUUUGGACGCCAUCUAGUUUUGAUGGAAGUUUAUUCUAUGUCCCUUUAGUUUCUAAUCCUUCAGACAACAUCGUAGGUUCUAACAAAGAUCAUUCAUUCUUACCUUGGGUUUGUCAUCACUAGCACGCCCCUUAGGCCCUAUCUAAACUUAAUUAUUUGUUGCUUUAGUUUCUCAUCGUUUACACACCGUACUAGGUUUUAUCUAUGUUUAUUCUUCAUCACUUUUUUUUUUCCUAUCAUUGGAACGCCUUCUAUGUUUUAUCUAUGUUCAUUUAUUAAUUCUACUCGUUUUUCGUCAUUGGGACAACUUUCUAGGCUCUAUCUAAGCUCAUUCCAUAUUUCCACUUGUAACUAAUCAUUGGGACAAGAUCCUUUGGUUUCGCAUCAUUUGGACACCAUCUAGGUUUGAUGGAUGUUUAUUCUUUCUCAAUUUCGUUUCUCAUUUUUGGACUACAUCGUAGGUUGUUUCUAAGGUCAUUCAUUCUUUACUUUGAUUUGUCAUCAUGGGGACGCCCCCUAGGCGCUAUCUAAGCUUAAUUGUUUAUUCCGUUAAUUUCCCACCGUUAAGACGCCAUCCUAGGUUCUGCGUAUGUUUAUAAUUCAUCCAUUUUGUUUCCUAUCAUUGGAACACCAUCUUGGUUUAAUCAAAGUGUAUUUGUCUAUUCCACUCGUUUUUCAUCAUUGGGACAGCUUUCUAGGUUCUAUCUAUGCUCAUUCCUUUUUUCCAUUUGUAACUAAUCAUUGUGACAUGAUCCUUUGGUUUCGCAUCGUUUGGACACCAUCUAGGUUUGAUGGAUGUUUAUUCUUUCUCAAUUUCGUUUCUCAUUUUUGGACUACAUCGUAGGUUGUUUCUAAGGUCAUUCAUUCUUUACUUUGAUUUGUCAUCAUGGGGACGCCCCCUAGGCGCUAUCUAAGCUUAAUUGUUUAUUCCGUUAAUUUCCCACCGUUAAGACGCCAUCCUAGGUUCUGCGUAUGUUUAUACUUCAUCCAUUUUGUUUCCUAUCAUUGGAACACCAUCUAGGUUUUAUCAAAGUGUAUUUGUCUAUUCCACUCGUUUUUCAUCACUGGGACAGCUUUCUAGGUUCUAUCUAUCCUCAUUCCUUUUUUCCAUUUGUAACUAAUCAUUGUGACAUGAUCCUUUGGUUUCGCAUCGUUUGGACACCAUCUAGGUUUGAUGGAUGUUUAUUCUUUCUCAAUUUCGUUUCUCAUUUUUGGACUACAUCGUAGGUUCUUUCUAAGGUCAUUCAUUCUUUACUUUGAUUUGUCAUCAUGGGGACGCCCCCUAGGCGCUAUCUAAGCUUAAUUGUUUAUUCCGUUAAUUUCCCACCGUUAAGACGCCAUCCUAGGUUCUGCGUAUGUUUAUACUUCAUCCAUUUUGUUUCCUAUCAUUGGAACACCAUCUAGGUUUAAUCAAAGUGUAUUUGUCUAUUCCACUCGUUUUUCAUUAUUGGGACAGCUUUCUAGGUUCUAUCUGUGCUCAUUCCUUUUUUCCAUUUGUAACUAAUCAUUGUGACAUGAUCCUUUGGUUUCGCAUCGUUUUGACACCAUCUAGAUUUGAUGGAUGUUUAUUCUUUCUCAAUUUCGUUUCUCAUUUUUGGACUACAUCGUAGGUUCUUUCUAAGGUCAGUCAUUCUUUGCUUUGAUUUGUCAUCAUGGGGACGGCCCCUAGGCGCUAUCUAAGCUUAAUUGUUUAUUCCGUUAAUUUCCCACCGUUAAGACGCCAUCCUAGGUUCUGCGUAUGUUUAUACUUCAUCCAUUUUGUUUCCUAUCAUUGGAACACCAUCUAGGUUUAAUCAAAGUGUAUUUGUCUAUUCCAAUCGUUUUUCAUCAUUGGGACAGCUUUCUAGGUUUUAUCUAUGCUCAUUCCUAUUUUCCAUUUGUAACUAAUCAUUGUGACAUGAUCCUUUGGUUUCGCAUCGUUUGGACACCAUCUAGGUUUGAUGGAUGUUUAUUCUUUCUCAAUUUCGUUUCUCAUUUUUCGACUACAUCGUAGGUUCUUUCUAAGGUCAUUCAUUCUUUACUUUGAUUUGUCAUCAUGGGGACGCCCCCUAGGCGCUAUCGAAGCUUAAUUGUUUAUUCCGUUAAUUUCCCACCAUUAAGACGCCAUCCUAGGUUCUGCGUAUGUUUAUACUUCAUCCAUUUUGUUUCCUAUCAUUGGAACACCAUCUAGGUUUAAUCAAAGUGUAUUUGUCUAUUCCACUCGUUUUUCAUCAUUGGGACAGCUUUCUAGGUUCUAUCUAUGCUCAUUCCUUUUUUCCAUUUGUAACUAAUCAUUGUGACAUGAUCCUUUGGUUUCGCAUCGUUUGGACACCAUCUAGGUCUGAUGGAUGUUUAUUCUUUCAAAAUUUCGGACGACAUCGUAGGUUCUUUCUAAGGUCAUUCAUUUUUUACUUUGGUUUGUCAUCAUGGGCACGCCACCUAGGCGCUAUCCAAUCUUAAUUUUUUGUUCCUUUAAUUUCUCAUCGUUUAGACGCCAUCCUAGGUUGUGCGUAUGUUUAUACUUCAUCCAUUUGAUUUGCUAUCAUUGGAACACCAUCUAGGUUUAAUCUAAGUUCAUUUGUCUAUUCCACUCGUUUUUCAUCAUUGGGAUAGCUUUCUAGGUUCUAUCUAUGCUCAUUCCAUUUUUCCAUUUGUAACUAAUUAUUGGGACAUGAUCCUUAGGUUUGGCAUCGUUUGGAAACCAUCUAGGUUUGAUGGAUGUUUAUUCUUUCAAAAUUUCGGACGACAUCGUAGGUUCUUUCUAAGGUCAUUCAUUUUUUACUUUGGUUUGUCAUCAUGGGGACGCCCCCUAGGCGCUAUCCAAGCUUAAUUGUUUGUUCCUUUAAUUUCUCAUCGUUUAGACGCCAUCCUAGGUUCUGCGUAUGUUUAUACUUCAUCCAUUUGAUUUCCUAUCAUUGGAACACCAUCUAGGUUUAAUCUAAGUUUAUUUGUCUAUUCCACUCGUUUUUCAUCAUUGGGACAGCUUUCUAGGUUCUAUCUAUGCUCAUUCCAUUUAUCCAUUUGUAACUAAUCAUUGGGACACGAUCCUUUGGUUUCGCAUCGUUUGGACAGUAUCUAGGUUUGAUGGAUGUUUAUUCUUUCAAAAUUUCGGACGACAUCGUAGGUUCUUUCCAAGGUCAUUCAUUUUUUACUUUGGUUUGUCAUCAUGGGGACGCCCCCUAGGCGCUAUCCAAGCUUAAUUGUUUGUUCCUUUAAUUUCUCACCGUUUAGACCCCAUCCUAGGUUCUGCGUAUGUUUAUACUUCAUCCAUUUUGUUUCCUAUCAUUGGAACACCAUCUAGGUUUAAUCUAAGUUCAUUUGUCUAUUCCACUCGUUUUUCAUCAUUGGGACAACUUUCUAGGUUCUAUUUAUGCUCAUUCCAUUUUUCCAUUUGUAACUAAUCAUUGGGACAUGAUCCUUUGGUUUCGCAUUGUUUGGACACCAUCUAGGUUUUAUGGAUGUUUUAUUCUUCCUCAAUUCGUUUCUCAUUUUUGGACCACAUCGUAGGUUUUUUCAAAGGUCAUGCAUUCUUUACUUUUGUUUGUCAUCAUUGGGACUCCCCCUAGGCCUUAUCUAAGCUUAAUAGUUUUUCCUUUAAUUUCUAAUCGUUUAGACACCAUCCUAGGUUCUGUCUAUGUUUAUACUUCAUCCAUUUUUUUUCCUAUGAUUGGAACACCAUCUAGGUUUAUUCUUCAUCCUUGUUGUUUACUAUUGGAGCACCAUCUAGGUUUUAUCUAAGUUCAUUUUUUUGUUCCUCCAUUUUUUCAUCAUUGGGACAGGUUUCUACGUUCGAUCGAAGCUCAUUCCUUUUUUCCAUUAAUAACUAUUCAUUGGGACAUGAUCCUUUGGUUUCUCAUCGUUGGACGCCAUCUAGGUUUUAUGGAAGCUUAUUCUUUCUCCCUUUGGUUUCUCGUAUUGGGGACGACAUCAUAGGUUUUUUCUAAGGUCAUUCAUUCUUUUCUUUCGUUUGUCAGCAUUGGGACGCCCCCUAGGCCCUAUCUAACCUAAAUUGUUUUUUAAUUUAAUUUCUCAUCGUUCGAACACCAUCCUAGGUUUUAUUUAUGUUAAUUCUUCAUCCCUUUUGUUUCCUUUCAUUCGAACGCCAUCUAGGUAUUAUUUAAGUUCAUUUGUUUUUCAUCAUACGGACAACUUUCUAGGUUCUAUCGAAGGUCAUUCCUUUUUUCCAUUUGUAACUAAUCAUUGGGACAUGAUCCUUUGGUUUCUCAUUGUUUGGACACCAUCUAGGCUUGAUGGAAGUUAAUUCUUUCUCCCUUUGGUUUCUCAUCUUUGCGACAACUUUGUAGCUUCUUUCUAUGGUCAUUCAUUGUUUAAUUUGGUUUGUCAUUAUUGGGACGCCCCGUAGGCCCUAUCUAAGCUUGAUUGUAUGUUCCUUUAAUUUCUCAUCGUUUAGACACCAUCCUAGGUUUUGUCUAUGUUUAUUCUUCAUCCCUUUCGUUUCCUAUUAUUGGAAUGGCAUCUAGGUUAUAUCUAAGUUCAUUUGUUUGUUCCACUUUUUUUCAAUCGUUGGGACUGCUUUCCAGGUUCUAUCUAAGCUCAUUCCUUUUUUCCAUUUGUAACUAAUCAUUCGGACAUGAAGCUUUGGUUUCUCAUCGUUUGGACAACAUCAAGGUUUUAUGCAAGUUUAUUCUUUCUCCCUUAGGUUUCUCAUUGUUUGGACAUCAUCUAGUUUAUUCUUUCUCCCUUUGGUUUUCUCAUCUUUGGGACGACAUCAUAGGUUCUAUCUAAGGUCAUUCAUUCUUUCCUUUCGUUUGUCAUGAUUGGGUCGCCCCCUAGGCCCUAUCUAAGCUUAAUUGUUUUUUCCUCUAAGUUCUCAUCGUUUGGACACCAUCCUAGGUUUUAUCAAUGUUUAUUCUUCAUCCCUUUGGUUUCCUAUCAUUAGAAUGCAAUCUAGGAUUUUGUUAAGUUCAUUGGUUAGUUCCACUCGUUUUUCUUCAUUGGGACAACUUUCUAGGUUCUAUCUAAACUGAUGUGUUUUUUCCAUUUGUAACUAAUCAUUGGAACAUAAUCCCUUAGUUUCUCAUCGUUUGGAAACAAUCUAGGUGUAAAGGAAGUUUAUUCUUUCUCAUUUUGGGACGACAUCGUAUGUUCUUUUUAAGGUCAUUAAUUCUUUACUUUGGUUUGUGAUCAUUGGAACGCGGACAGGCCCUAUCUAAGCUUAAUAUUUUGUUCCUUUAAUUUCUCAUCGUUUAGAAACCAUCGUAGGUUCUAUCUAUGCUUAUUCUUCAUCCCUUGAGUUUCCUAUGAUUGGAACGUCAUGUAGGUUUGAUCUAAGUUCAUCUCUUUGUUCCACUCGUUUUUCAUCAUUGGGAUAGCUUUCUAGGUUCUAUCUAAGCUGAAUGCUUUUUUCCAUUUGAAACUAAUCAUUGGGACAUGAUCCUUUGGUUUCUCACUGGUUGGACACAAUCUAGGUUUGAUGGAUGUUUAUUCUUUCUCAUUUUUGGACGACAUCGAAGGUUCUUUCUAAGGUGAUGCAUUCUUUACUUUGGUUGUCAUCAUGGGGACGCCCCCUAGGCCCUAUCUAAGCUUAAUUGUUUGUUCAUUUAAUUUCUCACCGUUUAGACACCAUCCUAGGUUUUGUCUUUUUUUAUUCUUCGUCCCUUUUGUUUGCUAACAUUGGAAUACCAUUUAGGUUUAAUCUAAGUUCAUUUCUUGGUUGCACUCGUUUUUCAUCAUUGGGACAACUUUUUAGGUUCUAUCUAUGCUCCUUCCAUUUUUCCAUUUGUAACUAAUCAUUAGGACACGAAGUUUUGGUUUCUAAUUGGGUGGACACCAUCUAGGUUUGAUGGAAGUUUAUUCUUUCUUCCUUUGGUUUCUCUUCUUUGGGACGACAUUGUAGGUUCUAAGGUCAUUCGUUCUUUCCUUUGAUUUGUCAUCAAUGGCACGCCCCUUUGGCACUAUCUAAGCUCAUUACUUUUUUCGAUUUCUAACUAAUCAUUGGGACAUGAACCUUUGGUGUCUCAUUGUUUCGACACAAUCCCUUUGAUGGAAGUUUAUUCUUUGUCUAUUUGGUUUCUCAUUUUGGGAUGACAUCGUAGGUUCUUUCUAAGGUCAUUCAUUCUUUACUUUGGUUUGUCAUCAUUGGGACGCCCAUUUGGCCCUAUCUAAGCUUAAUUGUUUGUUCCUUUAAGUUCUCACCGUUUAGACACGAUACUAGGUUCUAUCUUUCUUUAUUCUUCGUCCCUUUUGUUUCCUAUCAUUGGAACGCCAUCUAGGUUUUAUCAAAGAUCAUUUACUUGUUCUACUCGUUUUUCGUCAUUGGGACGCCCAUUCGCCCCUAUCUAAGCUUAAUUGUUUGUUCCUAUCAUUGGAACGCCAUAUGGAUUUUACCGAAGUUCAGUUAUUUGUUCUACUCGUUUUUCGUCAUUGGGACAGCUUUCUAAGUUCUAUCGAAGCUCAUUCCUUUUUUCCAUUUGUAACAACAUCCUUUGGUUUCGCAUCGUUUGGACACCAUCUAGGUUUGAUGGAUGUUUAUUCUUUCUCAUUUUUGGACAACAUCGUAGGUUCUUUCUAAGGUGAUGCAUUCUUUACUUUGGUUGUCAUCAUGGGGACGCCCCCUAGGCCCUAUCUAAGCUUAAUUGUUUGUUCAUUUAAUUUCUCACCGUUUAGACACCAUCCUAGGUUCUGUCUAUUUUUAUUUUUCAUCCGUUUUGUUUGCUAUCAUUGGAAUACCAUUUAGGUUUAAUCUAAGUUCAUUUCUAUGUUCCACUCGCUUUUCAUCAUUGGGACAACUUUUUAGGUUCUAUCUAAGCUGAAUGCUUUUUUCCAUUUGUAACUAAUCAUUGGGACAUGAUCCUUUGGUUUCUCACGGGUUGGAAACCAUCUAGGUUUUAUGGAAGUUUAUUCUUUCUCCCUUUAAUUUCCCAUCUUUGGGACGACAUCGUAGGUUCUAUCUAAGGUCAUUCAUUCUUUCAUUUCGUUUGUCAUAAAUGGCACGCCCCUUGGGCCGUAUCUAAGUUUAAUUAUUUGUUCCUUUAAUUUCUCAUCGUUUAGAUACCAUACUAGGUUCUAUCUAUGUGUAUUCUUCAUCCCUGUUGAUUUUUGUCACUGUACGCCAUCUAAUUUUUAUCUAAGUUCAUUUAUUUGUUCUACUCAUUUUUCGUCAUUGGGACAGCUUUCUAGGGUCUAUCUAAGCUCAUUCCUUAUUUCCAUUGGGACCUGAUUCUUUGGUUUCUCAUCGUUUGGACACCAUCUAGUUUUUAUAGAAGUUUAUUCUUUCUCCAUUUGGUUUCUCAUUUUGGGACGACAUCGUCGGUUCUUUCUAAGGUCAUUCAUUCUUUACUUUGGUUUGUCAUCAUGGGGACGCCCCCUAGGUGCUAUCUAAGCUUAAUUGUUUGUUCCCUUAAUUUCUCAUCGUUUAGACCUCAUCCUAGCUUCUGUCAAUGUUUAUUCUUCAUCCCUUUUGUUUCCUAUCAUUGGAACGCCAUAUGGAUUUUACCUAAGUUCAUUUAUUUGUUCUACUCGUUUUUCAUCAUUGGGACACCUUUCUAGGUUCUAUCUAAGCUCAUUCCUUUUUUUCCAUUUGUAACUAAUCAUUGGGACAAGAUCCUUUGGUUUCGCAUAGUUUGGACACCAUCUGGGUUUGAUGGAUAUUUUUUCUUUCUCAUUUUGGGACGACAUCGUAGGUUCUUUCUAAGGCCAUUCAUUCUUUACUUUGGUUUGUCAUCAUGGGGACGCCCCCUAGGCGCUAUCUAAGCUUAAUUGUUUGUUCCUUUAAUUUCUCAUCGUUUCGACACCAUCCUAGCAUCUAUCAAUGUUUAUUCUUCAUCCCUUUUAAUUCCUCUCAUUGGAAUGCCAUAUAGAUUUUACCUAAGUUCAUUUAUUUGUUCUACUCGUUUUUCUAGGUUCUAUCUAAGCUCGUUCCUUUUUUCCAUUUGUAACUAAUUAUUGGGACAAGAUCCUUUGGUUUCGCAUCGUUUGGACACCAUCUAGGUUUGAUGGAUGUUUAUUCUUUGUCAAUUUCGUUUCUUAUUGUUGGACAACAUCGUAGGUUCUUUCUAAGGUCAUUCAUUCCUUACUUUGGUUUGUCAUCAUGGGGACGCCCCCUAGGCCCUAUCUAAGCAUAAACCCAAGGGCAGGACCAACCCCGUGUCUUUAGGGACUAAAACCCGGGGGCAGGACCAACCCCAUACAGCCACAUCGAAGUGUCUUCCUCGAGGGCUUUAGGGACUUUCACCCAAAGACCCACGGUCCCACAUAAACAAUAUAUCAAAUGAUAAGGCCUGUAGCAUCACCUAAGCACUUCACCACUAAUAAAUUCUCUUAAUAUGAUCUGUGAUAAUUCCAUAUAUGUUCAACAACACCAUAAACCAUUUCGACAACACAAAACCACGAAUCUUCAUACCAAUAUACGUUCCAACAUCGGGGUAACAUUUCAAUGCAAUAAACCGAGAUGCAAUGACACUUUAAAAGAUUUUAUGAAAUCAUAGAAACAAAAUAAAAUUCCAACAAAUAAAUCAAGGAAAUAAAUCAGAUACACCAUAGAAUAGCAUAAAAUUCCCUACCUUAGAUUGACUUCCUUUUUGUGUUUCUUCUAAGUAGGCGAUCUUUGCCUAUUACGAGGAACUGAAAUGAAACAACAUAAUUUAGGUUUUAGUUUAUUGUUGCAAAUUUUUAAUUCUCACAUUCUCUAAUCUAUAUCCUACAUGUUUUCAAAUCAAAUAUGAAUUGAAUUAAACAAUAUUUACAAUGCAUAUUAAUUUCCCUAAUUAAUUACCAAACACUAAUUCUUUUGAUUUUCUUAAAGCCUAACCUAUUAACAAAUCCCAAGUGUCCAAAUAACCCAAUUCAUCACAUGUUUACUAAUCUAUUUUUCAAUCAAACCAAAUUAAACAAAGAUUUAUGCUGAUCUUACCCUUAAUAAAAUACUUAACUUAAAAUACUUUAAUCUUUAAUUAAUUGUGAUUUUUAACUAAAACGGGUUUAUAGCUAAUUAUACUCAACUUUUAAACAAUUUUUACCAUUAAUUCUUCUAAACAUACCUUUAGGAACCAAAAUAAACGAAAAUUACAAAAUUAAACAACUUGCUUACCUCAAAUCUACACUUUCUCUCUCUAGAUUCUCUCUCUAACCCAAGUUGCUGCAGGUGAAAUGGUGCAAAGAGAGCUGCAGCCCCCUUAUAAAGGGGGUCUCCAAGAACCCAAGCAUGAGGUGGCAGCCCACAUGGCUGCCACCAAUCCACCCAAGUAGGAGGUGGCAUUCCACUAACUCAAAUUUCCAAAUUUGCACUUUAGUCCUUCAAGUUAUCAAAAAUAAAACCCAUAAUUGCUCAUCAGUCCUUUAGGUUUUCAUAACCCUAAUUAGUCCCUAAGAACCUAAUAAGCAUGCUUAGAUCAUUAACUAAUCCCACUUAACCUUAAUCAAAGUUUAAUUCAUAAUUAAACAUGAUUAGCACUAAACUAGUUUUAACAUCUAAAUAAGCAAGCUUAAGUUAAGUACUAAAAUAAUCAUUAUUGCCUAUUUAAUUCAUUAGUACUAAGUGUUACAGGUUUCGCAUCGUUUGGACACCAUCUAGGUCUGAUGGAUGUUUAUUCUUUCUCAUUUUUGGACGACAUCGUAGGUUCUUUCUAAGGUCAUUCAUUCUUCACUUUUGUUUGUCAUCAUUGAGACGCCCCCUAGGCGCUAUCUAAGCUAAAUUGUUUGUUCCUUUAAUUUCUCACUGUUUAGACACCAUCCUAGGUUCUGCGCAUGUUUAUACUUCAUCCAUUUUGUUUCGUAUCAUUGGAACACCAUCUCGGUUUAAUCUAAGUUCAUUUGUCUAUUCCACUCGUUUUUCAUCAUUGGGACAACUUUCUAGGUUCUAUCUAUGCUCAUUCCAUUUUGCCAUUUGUAACUAAUCAUUGGGACAUGAUCCUUUGGUUUCGCAUUGUUUGGACACCAUCUAGGUUUGAUGGAUGUUUAUUCUUUCUCAAUUUCGUUUCUCAUUUUUGGACGACAUUGUAGGUUUUUUCUAAGGUAAUUCAUUCUUUACUUUGGUUUGUCAUCAUGGGGACGCCCCCUAGGUGCUAUCUAAGCUUAAUUGUUUGUUCCUUUAAUAUCUCACCGUUUAGACACCAUCCUAGUCUUUGUGUAUGUUUAUACUUCAUCCAUUUUGUUUCCUAUCAUUGGAACACCAUUUAGGUUUAAUCUAAGUUCAUUUCUCUAUUCCACUCGUUUUUCAUCAUUGGGACAGCUUUCUAAGUUCUAUCUACGCUCAUUCCACUUUUCCAUUUGGAACUAACCAUUGUGACAUGAUCGUUUGGUUUCGCAUCAUUUGGACACCAUAUAGGUUUGAUGGAUGUUUAUUCUUUCUCAAUUUCGGACGACAUCGUAGGUUCUUUCUAAGGUCAUUCAUUUUUUACUUUGGUUUGUCAUCAUGGGGACGCCCCCUAGGCGCUAUCCAAGCUUAACUGUUUGUUCCUUUAAUUUCUCACCGUUUAGACACCAUCCUAGGUUUUGCGUAUGUUUAUACUUCAUCCAUUUUGUUUCCUAUCAUUGGAACACCAUCUAGGUUUAAUCUAAGUUCAUUUGUCUAUUCCACUCGUUUUUCAUCAUUGGGAAAGCUUUCUAGGUUCUAUCUAUGCUCAUUCCAUUUCUCCAUUUGUAACUAAUCAUUCGGACAUGAAGCUUUGGUUUCUCAUCGUUUUGACACCAUCAAGGUUUUAUUUUGAUUUGUCAUCAUUGGCACGCCCCUUUGGCCCUAUCUAAGCUCAUUACUUUUUUCGAUUUGUAACUAAUCAUUGGGACAUGAACCUUUGGUGUCUCAUCGUUUCGACACCAUCCCUUUGAUGGAAGUUUAUUCUUUGUCUAUUUGGUUUCUCAUUUUGGGAUAACAACGUAGGUUCUUUCUAAGGUCAUUCAUUCUUUACUUUGGUUUGUCAUCAUUGGGACGCCCAUUAGGCCCUAUCUAAGCUUAAUUGUUUGUUCCUUUAAGUUCUCACCGUUUAGACACGAUACUAGGUUCUAUCUUGGUUUAUUCUUCAUCCCUUUUGUUUCCUAUCAUUGGAACGCCAUCUAGGUUUUAUCAAAGAUCAUUUACUUGUUCUACUCAUUUUUCGUCAUUGGGACGCCCAUUUGGCCCUAUCUAAGAUUAAUUGUUUCUUCCUUUAAUUUCUCACCGUUUCGACACCAUCCUAGCUUCUGUCAAUGUUUAUUCUUCAUCGCGUUUGUAUCCUCUCAUUGGAACGCCAUAUAGAUUUUGCCUAAGUUCAUUUAUUUGUUCUACUCGUUUUUCUAGGUUCUAUCUAAGCUCAUUCGUUUUUUCCAUUUGUAACUAAUCAUUGUGACAUGAUCCUUUGGUUUCGCAUCGUUUGGACACCAUCUAGGUUUGAUGGAUGUUUAUUCUUUCUCAAUUUCGUUUCUCAUUUUUGGACUACAUCGUAGGUUCUUUCUAAGGUCAUUCAUUCUUUACUUUGGUUUGUCAUCAUGGGGACACCCCCUAGGCGCUAUCUAAGUAAUUGUUUCUUCCUUUAAUUUCUCACCGUUUAGACACCAUCAUAGAUUCUGCAUAUGUUUAUACGUCAUCCCUUUUGUUUCCUAUCAUUGGAACGCCAUCUAGAUUUUAUCUAAGUUCAUUUAGGUUUUCUGCUCGUUUUUCGUCAUUGGGACUGCUUUCUGGGUUCUAUCUAUGCGCAUUCCAUUUUUCCAUUUGGGACAUGAUCCUUGGUUUCUCAUUGUUUGGACACCAUCUAGGUUUUAUGGAAGUUUAUUCUUUCUGCAUUUGGUUUCUCUUUUGGGGACGACAUCGUAGGUUCUUUCUAAGGUUCUAUCUAAGCUCAUUCCUUUUUUCCAUUUGUAACUAAUCAUUGUGAUAUGAUCCUUUGGUUUUGCAUCGUUUGGACACCAUCUAGGUUUGAUGGAUGUUUAUUCUUUCUCAAUUUGGUUUCUCAUUUUUGGACGAUGUCGUAGGUUCUUUUUAAGGUCAUUCAUUCUUUACUUUGGUUUGUCAUCAUGGGGACGCCCCCUAGGCGCUAUCUAAGCUUAACUGUUUGUUCCUUUAAUUUUCAUCGUUUAGACACCAUCCUAGCUUCUGUCAAUGUUUAUUCUUCAUCCCUUUUGUUUCCUAUCAUUGAAACGCCAUAUAGAUUUUACCUAAGUUCAUUUAUUUGUUCUACUCGUUUUUCGUUAUUGGGAAAGCUUUCUACGUUCUAUCUAAGCUCAUUCCUUUUUUCCAUUUGUUACUAAUCAUUGGGACAUGAUCCUUUGGUUUUGCAUCGUUUGGACACCAUCUAGGUUUGAUGGAUGUUUAUUCUUUCUCAAUUUCGUUUCUCAUUUUUGGACGACAUCGGAGGUUCUUUCUAAGGUCAUUCAUUCUUUACUUUGGUUUGUCAUCAUGGGGACGCCCCCUAGGCGCUAUCUAAGUAAUUGUUUGUUCCUUUAAUUUCUCACCGUUUAGACACCAUCCUAGAUUCUGCGUAUGUUUAUACGUCAUCCCUUUUUUUUCCUAUCAUUGGAACGCCAUCUAGAUUUUAUCUAAGUUCAUUUAGGUUUUUUGCUCGUUUUUCGUCAUUGGGAUUGCUUUUUGGGUUCUAUCUAUGCGCAUUCCAUUUUUCCAUUUGGGACAUGAUCCUUGGUUUCUCAUUGUUUGGACACCAUCUAGGUUUUAUGGAAGUUCAUUCUUUCUCCAUUUGGUUUCUCAUUUUGGGAUGACAUCGUAGGUUCUUUCUAAGGUUCUAUCUAUGCUCAUUCUUCUUUUCCAUUUGUAACUAAUCAUUAAGACACGAACCUUUGGUUUCUCACUGGCCGGACACCAUCUAGGUCUGAUGGACGUUUAUUCUUUCUGCCAUUGGUUUCUCAUCUUUGGGACGACAUGGUAGGUUCUAUCUGAGGUCAUUCAUUCUUUACUUUGGUUUGUCAUCAUGGGGACACCCCUUGGGCUCUACCUAAGCUUAAUUAUAUGUUAUUAUAAUUUCCCAUCGUUUAGACACCAUGCUAGGUUCUAUCUAUAUUUAUUCGCCAUCCCUUUUUUUUCCUAUCAUUGGAACGCCUUCUAGAUUUUAUCUAAGUUCAUUUAGGUUUUCUACUCGUUUUUCGUCAUUGGGACUGGUCUCUAGGUUCUAUCUAUGCGCAUUCCAUUUUUCCAUUUGGGACAUGAUCCUUUGGUUUCUCAUUGUUUGGACAACAUCUAGGUUUUUUGGAAGUUUAUUGUUUCUCCAUUUGGUUUCUCAUUUUGGGUCGACAUCGUAGGUUCUUUCUAAGGUCAUGCAUUCUUUACUUUGGUUUGUCAUCAUUGGGACGCCCCUAGGCCCUAUCUAAGCUUAAUUGUUUGUUCCUUUAAUUUCUCUUCGUUUAGACACCAUCCUAGGUUCUACGUAUGUUUAUACUUCAUCCAUUUUGUUUCCUAUCAAUGGAACACCAUCUAGGUUUAAUCUAAGAUUAUUUGUCUGUUCCACUCGUUUUUCAUCAUUGGGAUAGCUUUCUAGGUUCUAUCUAUGCCCAUUCCAUUUUUCCAUUUGUAACUAUUCAUUGGGACACGAAACUUUGGUUUCUCAUUGGUUGGACACCAUCUAGGUUUGUUCGAAGCUUAUUCUUUCUCCCUUUGGUUUCUCAUCUUUCUGACCACAUCGUAGGUUUUAUCUAAGGUCAUUAAUGCUUUCCUUUGGUUUUCUUCCUUGGCACGCUCCCUACGCCCUAUCUCAGCUUAAUUAUUUGUUCCUUUAAUUUCUCAUCGUUUAGACAACACACUAGGUUCUAUCUAUAUUAAUUCUUCAUCCCUUUUGUUUCCUAUCAUUGGAACGCCAUCUAGAUUUUAUUUGUGGUCAUUUAUUUGUUCUACUCGUUUUUCGUCAUUGAGAAAGCUUUCUAGGUUCUAUCUAAGCUCAUUCCUUUUUUCCAUUUAUAACUAAUCAUUCGCACACGAAACUUCUGUUUCUCAUUUUUUGGACACCAUCUAGGUUUGAUCGAAGUUUAUUCUUUCUCCCUUUGGUUUCUCAUCUUUGGGACGACAUCGUAGGUUCUAUCUGAGGUCAUUCAUUCUUUACUUUGGUUUGUCAUCAUGGGGACACCCCUUGGGCUCUACCUAAGCUUAAUUAUAUGUUAUUAUAAUUUCCCAUCGUUUAGACACCAUGCUAGGUUCUAUCUAUAUUUAUUCGCCAUCCCUUUUGUUUCCUAUCAUUGGAACGCCAUCUAGAUUUUAUCUAAGUUCAUUUAGGUUUUCUACUCGUUUUUCGUCAUUGGGACUGCUUUCUAGGUUCUAUCUAUACGCAUUCCAUUUUUCCAUUUGGGACAUGAUCCUUUGGUUUCUCAUUGUUUGGACACCAUCUAGGUUUUAUGGAAGUUUAUUCUUUCUCCAUUUGGUUUCACAUUUUGGGUCGACAUCGUAGGUUCUUUCUAAGGUCAUGCAUUCUUUACUUUGGUUUGUCAUCAUUGGGACGCCCCUAGGCCCUAUCUAAGCUUAAUUGUUUGUUCCUUUAAUUUCUCUUCGUUUAGACACCAUCCUAGGUUCUGUGUAUGUUUAUACUUCAUCCAUUUUGUUUCCUAUCAAUGGAACACCAUCUAGGCUUAAUCUAAGAUUAUUUGUCUGUUCCACUCAUUUUUCAUCAUUGGGACAGCGUUCUAGGUUCUAUCUAUGCCCAUUCCAUUUUUCCAUUUGUAACUAAUCAUUGGGACACGAAACUUUGGUUUCUCAUUGGUUGGACACCAUCUGGGUUUGAUCGAAGUUUAUUCUUUCUCCCUUUGGUUUCUCAUCUUUCUGACCACAUCGUAGGUGUAAGGUCAUUAAUGCUUUUCUUUGGUUUGUCUUCCUUGGCACGCUCCCUAGGCCCUAUCUCAGCUUAAUUAUUUGUUCCUUUAAUUUCUCAUCGUUUAGACAGCACACUAGGUUCUAGCUAUAUUAAUUCUUCAUCCCUUUUGUUUCCUAUCAUUGGAACGCCAUCUAGAUUUUAUCUAUGGUCAUUUAUUUGCUCUAUUCGUUUUUCGUCAUUGAGAAAGCUUUCUAGGUUCUAUCUAAGGUCAUUCCUUUUUUCCAUUUAUAACUAGUCAUUGGCACACGAAACUUUGGUUUCUCACUGUUUGGAUACCAUCUUGGUUUGAUCGAAGCUUAUUCUUUCUCCCUUUGGUUUCUCAUCUUUCUGACGACAUUGUACUUUCUACCUAAGGUCAUUAAGCCUUCCUUUGGUUUGUCUUCAUUGGCACGCCCCCCCUAGGCCCUAUCUAAGCUUAAUUAAUUGUUCCUUUAAUUUCUCAUUGGGAUUGAUUUUUGGGUUCUAUCUAUGCGCAUUCCAUUUUUCCAUUUGGGACAUGAUCCUUGGUUUCUCAUUGUUUGGACACCAUCUAGGUUUUAUGGAAGUUUAUUCUUUCUCCAUUUGGUUUCUCAUUUUGGGACGACAUCGUAGGUUCUUUCUAAGGUUCUAUCUAUGCUCAUUCUUUUUUUCCAUUUGUAACUAAUCAUUAAGACACGAACCUUUGGUUUCUCAUUGGCCGGACACCAUCUAGGUCUGAUGGAAGUUUAUUCUUUCUGCCAUUGGUUUCUCAUCUUUGGGACGACAUCAUAGGUUCUAUCUGAGGUCAUUCAUUCUUUCCUUUGGUUUGUCAUCAUUGGCACACCCCUUGGGCUCUACCUAAGCUUAAUUUUGUGUUAUUAUAAUUUCCCAUCGUUUAGACACCAUGCUAGGUUCUAUCUAUAUUUAUUCGUCGUCCCUUUUGUUUCCUAUCAUUGGAACGCCAUCUAGAUUUUAUCUAAGUUCAUUUAGGUUUUCUACUCGUUUUUCGUCAUUGGGCCUGCUUUCUAGCUUCUAUCUAUGCGCAUUCCAUUUUUCCAUUUGGGACAUGAUCCUUUGGUUUCUCAUUGUUUGGACACCAUCUAGGUUUUAUGGAAGUUUAUUCUUUCUCCAUUUGGUUUCUCAUUUUGGGUCGACAUCGUAGGUUCUUUCUAAGGUCAUGCAUUCUUUACUUUGGUUUGUCAUCAUUGGGACGACCCUAGGCCCUAUCUAAGCUUAAUUUUUUGUUCCUUUAAUUUCUCUUUGUUUAGACACCAUCCUAGGUUCUGCGUAUGUUUAUACUUCAUCCAUUUUCUUUCCUAUCAAUGGAACACCAUCUAGGUUUAAUCUAAGAUUAUUUGUCUGUUCCACUUGUUUUUUGUCAUUGGGAUAGUUUUCUAGGUUCUAUCUAUGCCCAUUCCAUUUUUCCAUUUGUAACUAAUCAUUGGGACACGAAACAUUGGUUUCUCAUUGGUUGGACACCAUCUAGGUUUGAUGGAAGUUUAUUCUUUCUCCCUUUGUGACGACAUUGUAGGUUUUAUGUAAGGUCAUUCUUUCUUUUCUUUGGUUUGUCAUCAUUGGCACUCCCCUUAGGCCUUAUAUGAGCUUAAUUAUUUGUUCCUUUAAUUUCUCAUUGUUUAGACAACAUACUAGGUUCUAUCUAUAUUAAUUCUUCAUCCCUUUUGUUUCCUAUCAUUAGAACGCCAUCUAGAUUAUAUCUCAGGUCAUUUAUUUGUUCUACUCGUUUUCAUCAUUGGGACAGCUUUCUAGGUUAUCUAAGCUCAUUCCUUUUUUCAAUUUAUAACUAAUCAUUGGGACACGAAGCUUUGGUUUCUCACUGUUUGGACACCAUCUAGGUUUGAUCGAAGUUUAUUCUUUCUCCCUUUGGUUUCUCAUCUUUCUAACGAGAUUGUAGGUUCUAUCUAAGGUCAUUAAUGCUUUCCUUUGGUUUGUCUUCAUUGGCACGCCCCCUAGGCCCUAUCUAAGCUUAAUUAUGUGUUCCUUCAAUUUCUCCUCUUUUGGACACCAUCCUAGGUUCUAUCUAUGUUUAUUCUUCAUCCCUUUUGUUUCAUAUCAUUGGAAUGCCAUCUAGGAUUUAUCUAAGUUCAUUUGUUUGUUCCACUCGUUUUUCAUCAUUGGGACAGUUUUCUAGGUUCUAUCUAAGCUCAUUCUUUUUUUCGAUUUGUAACUAAUCAUUAAGACACGAACCUUUGGUUUCUCACUGGUUGGACACCAUCUAGGUCUGAUGGAAGUUUAUUCUUUCUGCCAUUGGUUUCUCAUCUUUGGGACGACAUCAUAGGUUCUAUCUGAGGUCAUUCAUUCUUUCCUUUGGUUUGUCAUCAUUGGCACACCCCGAGGCCCUAUCUAAGCUUAAUUGUUUGUUCCUUUAAUUUCUCAUUGUUUGGACACCAUCCAAGGUUCUAUCUAUGUUUAUUCUUGAUCCCUUUUGUUUCCUAUCAUUGGAUUGGCAUCUAGGUUUUAUCUAAGUUCAUUUGUGUGCUCCACUUGUUUUUCAUCAAUCGAACAGCUUUCUAGGUUCUAUCUGAGCUCAUUCCUUUUUUCCAUUUGUAACUAAUCAUUGGGACAUGAUCCUUUGGUUUCUCAUUGUUUGGACACCAUCUAGGUUUUAUGGAAGUUUAUUCUUUCUCCCUUUGGUUUCUCAUAUUGGGGACGACAUCAUAGGUUUUUUCUAAGGUCAUUCAUUCUUUUCUUUCGUUUGUCAUCAUUGGGACGCCCCCUAGGCCCUAUCUAAGCUUAAUUGUUUGUUCCUUUAAUUUCUCAUCGUUUGGACACCAUCCUAGGUUUUAUCUAUGUUAAUUCUUCAUCCCUUUUGUUUCCUAUCAUUCGAACGCCAUCUAGGUAUUAUCUAAGUUCAUUUGUUUCUUCCACUUGCUUUUCAUCAUUAGGACAGCUUUCUAGUUUCUAUCUAAGCUCAUUCCUUUUUUCCAUUUGUAACUAAUCUUUGGGACAUGAUCCUUUGGUUUCUCAUCGUUUGGACACCACCUAGGUUUUAUGGAAGUUUAUUCUUUCUCCCUUUGGUUUCUCAUCUUUGGGACGACAUUGUAGCUUCUUUCUAAGGUCAUUCGUUCUUUCCUUUUGUUUUUCAUCAUUGGGAUGCCCCCUAAGCUUAAUUGUUUGUUCCUUUAAUGUCUCAUCGUUUGGACACCAUCCUAGGUUUUGUCUAUGUUUAUUCUUCAUCCCUUUUGUUUCCUAUCAUUGGAACGCCAUUUUGGAUUUAUCUGAGUUCAUUUGUUUGUUCCACUCGUUUUUAACCAUUGGGACAACUUUCUAGGUUCUAUCUAAGCUCAUUCUUUUUUUCCAUUUGUAACUAAUCAUUAGGACAAAAUCCUUUGGUUUCUCAUCGUUUGGUAACCAUCUAGGUUUUAUGGAAGUUUAUUCUUUCUCCCUUUGGUUUCUAAUAUUGAGGAUGACAUCGUAGGUUUAAGGUCAUUCAUUCUUUCCUUCGUUUGUCAUCAUUGGGACACCCCCUUGGCCUAUCUAAGCUUAAUUGUUUGUUCCUUUAAUUUCUCAUCGUUUGGACACCAUCCUAGGUUUUGUCUAUGUUUAUUCUUCAUCCCUUUUGUUUCCUAUCAUUGGAUUGCCAUCUAGGUUUUAUCUAAGUUCAUUUGUUUGUUCCACUUGUUUUUCAUCAUUGGGACAGCUUUCUAGGUUCUAUCUAAGCUCAUUUCUUUUUUCCAUUUCUAACUAAUCAUUGGGACAUGAUCCUUUGGUUUCUCAUUGUUUGGACACCACCUAGGUUUUAUGGAAGCUUAUUCUUUCUCCCUUUGGUUUCUCAUCUUUGGGACGACAUCAUAGCUUCUUUCUAAGGUCAUUCAUUCUUUCCUUGGGCUUGUCAUCAUCGGGAUGCCCCCUAGGGCUUAUCUAAGCUUAAUUGUUUGUUCCUUUAAUUUCUCAUUGUUUGGACACCAUCCUAGGUUCUAUCUAUGUUUAUUCUUCAUCCUUUUUGUUUCCUAUCAUUGGAACGCCAUCUAGGUUUUAUCUAAUUUCAUUUGGUUGUUCCACUUGUUUUUCAUCAUUGGGACAUUCCUUUGGUUUCUCAUCGUUUGGACACCAUCUAGUUUAUUCUUUCUCCCUUUUGUUUUUCAUCUUUGGGACGACAUCAUAGGUUCUAUCUAAGGUCAUUCAUUCUUUCCUUGGGUUUGUCAUCAUUGGGACGCCCCCUAGGCCCUAUCUAAGGUUAAUUGUUUUUUCCUUUAAUUUCUCGUCGUUUGGACACUAUCUUAGGUUCUAUCUAUGUUUAUUCUUCAUCCCUUUUGUUCCUUUCAUUGGAACGCCAUCUAGGUUUUAUCUAAGUUCAUUUGUUUGUUCCACUUGUUUUCAUCAUUGGGAUAGCUUUCUAGGUUCUAUCUAAGCUCAUUUCUUUUUUCCAUUUGUAAGUAAUCAUUGGGAUAUGAUCCUUUGGUUUCUCAUCAUUUGGACACCAUCCCAGGUUCUAUAUAAGUUUAUUCUUUGUUCCUCCCGUUUCUUAUUAUUUUGACACCAUCUUAGGUUUUAUCUAAACUUAAUAUUUUGUUUCUUUGAUUUUUUUUAUCAUUGGGACACCAUUGUAGGUUCUAUGUGAUAUUAUUUUUUGUUCCUUUGGUUUCUCAUCAUUCUAAUGUCAUGAUAAGUUCUAUCUAAGCCUACUCAUUUGUUCCUUUGGUUUCUCUUCCUUGGGAUGCCAUUCUAGGUUUUGUCUUAGUUUUUUUCUUUAGUUUUUUUGUUUAAUCAUUAUCUGAACUUCAUUCCAAUUCAAAUAUAUUGUUUUCUUCUUUAUUUAGCUUUAUAUAAAAUAUAAGAAACUAUAAUACACUGUGCAAAUUAAGUACUCUGACUGAGGAAUAAUCUAUGAAUUAAUUUGAAGUCAUAUUGAAAUAACAAAACACCUAGCACAAACAAUCCAAUCAUACCCAAUGUAAAAACAUUUGGCUGAAUUAUGGCAACCUCACCUUGGAUUUCUAAAAAUUGAUAAGAACAUUUGGCUGAAAUGAAUUUAUGGUAUAUACGAUGAGAGGUGGUUCAUUGAUGUAUACUCAUGCGUUAUUUGAUGCCAAGCAUGAUUUCAAGAUUACUAUACGAAACAACAUAGAAUUCUUACCAGUUGAAGAUGCUCACUAAACCUUAAAGCAGUUACGGCCAGACGUUCAAAAUGAAAAGCCAUCCGUUGAAUGGACAGAUUUGAAGCAGCAAAUAAGAAACAUAAACUGUAAUCGCUUGAAAGAAUUUUUACCUGUUGAAGAUUCUACAAUCCUUGGAGCAUCCAUGCCCAAACCUUCAAAAUGAAAAGUCAUCUCCAAUAGGCAAAUUUGAAGCAACAAAUGAGAAACUUAAACAAUAAUAGCAUGUUAGAAUUUUUAGGAAAAAAGAGUAUCACCUUUAUAUUUUAAAAAAAAAAAACAUUGAAUUGUAUUAUAAGUAUCACUGUAGUGGGAAUAAUAUAUCACUGCUCUUUGGUUUAUGGUAAGAUAUGCAAAAUUUUUAAUUUUUAAUAAAAUGAAAAGAAAAUUAAUAUAAAUGAUUAAAUACAAAUUCUUUGUGAAAAUUGUAUUUUAUUUUUUAUUUUAUAUAAUAAGAAAAUUAAAAAUUUUAACAAAUGAAAAUGGUAUAACCUCAACCAAGUUUUUAUCUUCUUUAAUAAAAAAUAUUAAACAUUUUAAUCAAGAAAAAAAGAUAAAACCAUGGUGAAUAUUAAGUAAAAAAAUUCAAUUUCUUUAUUAUAUAUUUAUUUUUAUAUUUUUCUCAUUAAUGAUUUAUUAUAUGUUAUUAUUAUUAUUUUAUAUGUAAAGUGUUCAUAAAUAUUUUAAAAAAAAUGAAAGAGUGAAAAAAAAAUGAAAUUUAAAAUAUUUUGAGAAUGAGUAACUAGUAUAUUCUAAAAAAAUCCAAAAGGUAUAAAAUGAAGAAAGAAGAAAUAAAAAAAAAAAAAAAAAUUAAUGUUGCAUGUUGAUCCCCACAUGAUAUUCGAAUUUUGUUUAUGCUAUUACUUGUCGGGGAAUUUUUGGCGCUGGUUUUGGGAGGACUCUUGAAGGGGUUUCAAACAGCAUUUCACAAAGGCAAAAAGGGAGACCAUUUCAAACAGCAUUUCAAAAAGGCAACAAGGGAGAGAAUGCAUAUGAUACCUGUUAGAGAAGUACACCAAGCAUGACAGGAUCAGAUCAGGAGGGCUUUGGGAAUUCUCGAGGGUUCUUGGCAGGAGUUCUUCAGCUCAUCGUCCUUGAUCACCAGGAAUUUAUCAUCGUCAUCGGUACACAUUUGGAGUUUUUCGGGAUUUUUCCAGAAGCUAGAUCUUUUCUAGAGACGUGCGUCUCCACCACUAGCAGGGAGAAUCAUCUUCACAGGCGCGCCAUCAGUCGGAGGAGAGAAGCCUUCUCCAUAGUCGUCUUCUACAUAUGUGCACCGCAUCUCUCUAGAAGAAUGGCAACUCAUCAAAGCCACACAUAGACCAGCUCUUAUCAUCACUGCCUUAUCAGUCUCUGUAACUCAUCAUGAUCAUGACACACCGGCUGGGGAUAUUUGAUCAUUUUCAGUUCUAUCAUCAGAUAUUUAACUUCAGUUUUCACCAUCCUCCCAUCUCAGUAUCUUAUGAUCAUUUAUUUAUUAAUUCGAAACUUGAUUUUUGGGAAAAGUGGCAUCGUAUCACCAUCAAGAACAUAUCUACAGCAGAUUCAAUGAUUUUAUCAUCAGGCAUUUGGUUUUAAAGGAUUCUUUUUAGCAUUCUGAAGAGGAUAAGGAGAGAUUCUGGAGGGUUCUCGUCAACAGCAACAUUCCCACUCCAUUGGUGCAGGAUCAUUAGAGCUUUGGGGAGGUACAAGACCAUUGGGAAGAUCAUAAAAGCCACGCUAUCUUGAUUGGCAGUUCAUCUUCCCUAGUUUGUGCGCAGCACCAGCAGAUCAGAAGACCAUCACUGCACAUUCAUUUUGGAUUAUUCAUCAUUCAUUUUUUGGUGAGGGGAGCUAUCACCGACUUUGGAGGGCAAUAUCGAGAGGGUUCUGGACUUUUCUUUGAAGAGGAGAUCAUCAUACACCGAGGGAGAAUUCUGGACGUUCUGGGCUUUGAUCUUUUCGCCGGAAAAGAAAGAAACAGAGAGGGGAGGAUCGAUCUUGAGAGAGGAGAAGUUUACAUCUAGGAGUGAGGGGACCGCAUCACGAAUUCUGGAGGUUUUUCUUCUUGGGGAUCUUUUGGCCGCUAAAGAAAGAAGCAGAGAGGGGAGGAUCGAUCUUGAGAGAGGAGAAGUUUACAUCUAGGAUUGAGGGAACCGCAUCACGAAUUCUGGAGGUUUUUCAUCUUUCAUCUUUUUGGGAUCUUUUGGCCGGAAAAGAAAGAAACAGAGAGGGGAGGAUCGAUCUUGAGAGAGGAGAAGUUUUCAUCUAGGCUUGAGGGGACUGCAUGACGAAUUCUGGAGGUUAUUCGUCUUUUAUCUUAGGGAUCUUUUGGCCGGAAAAGAAAGAAACAGAUAGGGGAGGGUCGAUUGAGAGAGGAGAAAUUUUCAUCUAGGCUUGAGGGGACUGCGUCAAGGAUCCAGUUGGAGGAGAUCACUGCUAUCGACCAUGAUCACCAGUUCCGAGUGGAGGAGAUUGACACAGCAACAGUCUCCGGCCGAAGCAAGAUUUCUGUCGGCAUCACCCCUAUUGCAUUUGAGAGAGAGGUGCUAAAGCCAUGAUCAUCAGACCUACGUAUCACCAUUCUUGCUCGCACCACGGUUCAUCAACGCUGCGUCUCCGGAUCAGGCACCAGACCAUGCAUUGGUUCGUCGCCAGCUCAAACAUGAAGAGGAAGGCUCAACGGGUUUGGUUGUAAGGGAAGAAGGUGAGGAGAUAGGAAAUGAUCCAAAGGAGGUUUCCUUCUCUUAAAGAUGGCCGAAAAGUGAACUGGAUGCCUUUGGCAACUUCUUGGUAAUGUCGACUAAGGGGUUCGAGCUAGAGAUCAUGGCCUGUAUAAAAAAGAUGAGGCCAGAAAGGGGACAAAGGCUCGAGGGAAAUGUAAAGAGAAAGAAGAAAAUAUGCUUGCCAAAAUUUGGAAGAGAGCAAAAAGACUGGAGUGCUAAAAAAUUUAGAUGGGUUGAAGGAAGGUUAUUAGUGCUUUAAUGCACUCUCAAAGUACAGAUAUAGUUUGUAUUGAUAAAACAAAAAGUCAAUUUACUGUUAAUUUAUUCACCAAUUGAUUUAUUUAUAUGUAUUUGUGUGUUGGUGUGUGAGUGUGGGUACUGUUGGGUGGGUGGGUGGGGUGCCGAGGGUGUUCCCCCACGUGUUUUCUUGUUUUCUUUUAGUGUCAAAGCACUGGCUUACCCAUGUUGUUUACAUAACUUGAGAGCUUAAAUUGGUCCUUGACAUUAGUAACCGACAGUGGUUUACAAAAAUUAUGUCAAUUGACAUCACUUAAAUCACUAAUUCUGGAUGCUUACCACGGAUGCUGGGCUUUCAAUUUUCACCAGUCAGCAAUUGCAGACUUUUAGUUAUCACUGUUUGGAUGUAAAUAUUUGCUUUAUACGAUUUCUUUUGUGGAAUCAUUUGUAUCAUUAUUCUUUUCAUUAUGAACAUUUGGGUAUAGUAUCUUGUAGCAUCGGUAACAUUAUUUUCACCAUAGUACUACUAUUAAUAUAUUUUAGUAUUGCUUUUUUUUUAUAAAAGAGUAUGAACUAAUAAUGACGCGCUGAUGGUGAAUUGAUGUGAUGUCGUGAUGAAGCUGCGCUAAUCUGAAGUGAUGGUGUGCGUCUACAAAAUCGGUAGGUGAUGCUGAAUGAUGAUGAAGAAGUUGAUGUCCACGCGAACCCAAAGAGAGAGAUGAUCAAGACAUCCGUGCGAUGUCCAGUUUGCACGAAAGAUCGAAACGGUGUUGUUAUGAUCCUCAGAUGCUCCUCGAUGCGUGGUGGUUUAGAGUUGCAGGCGGUGUUCGAGAUGGCGAUGAACCAAUGCGUAGUCUGGUGCCUGAUCCGGAGACGCAGCGUUGAUGAACUGUUGUGGGCGCAAGAAUGGUGAUACGUGGGUCUGAUGACUCCUCUCUCAGAUCCAAUAGGGGUGAUGCCGACAGAAAUCUUGCUUCUGCCGGAGACUGUCGCUGUGUCAAUCUCCUCCACUCGGAACUGGUGAUGAUGGUCGAUAGCAGUGAUCUCCUCCAACUGGAUCCGUGACGCAGUCCCCUAUGAAAACUUUUGUCUCAAGAUCGAUCCUCCGCUCUCUGUUUCUUUCUUUUCCGGCAUCCCCGAAAGAUGAAAGAUGAAAAACCUCCAGAAUUCGUCAUGCAGUCCCUAAAGCUUAGAUGAAAACUUCUCUCUCGAGAUCGAUCCUCCCCUCUCUGUUUCUUUCUUUUCCGGCCAAAAGAUCCCCAAAAGAUGAAAGAUGAAAAACCUCCAGAUCGAUCCUCACGCCUAGAUGAAAACUUCUCCUCUCUCAAGAUCGAUCUUCCACUCUCUGUUUCUUUCUUUUCCGGCCAGAAGAUGAAAGCCAAAAACCGCCAGAAUUCUCCCUCGGUAUAUGAUGAUCUCCUCUUCAAAGAAAAGUCCAGAAUCCUCUCGAUAUUGCCUUCCAAAGUCGGUGAUAGCUCCCCUCACCAAAAAAAUGAAUGAUGAAUGAUGAAUGAUCCAAAAUGAAUGUGCAGUGAUGGUCUUCUGAUCUGCCGGUGCUGCGCACUCCUGAAGAUAAACUAAUGAAGAUGAACUGCCAAUCAAGAUAGCGUGGCCGUUAUGAUCUUCCCAAUGGUCUUGUACCUCCCCAAAGCUCUGAUGAUCCUGCACCAAUGAAGUGGGAGUGUUGCUGUUGACGAGAACCCUCCAGAAUCUCUCCUAUCCUCUUCAGAAUGCUGAAAAAAAAUCCCUUAAACCAAAUUCGUGAUGAUGAAAUCUGUGAAUCUGCUGUGGAUACGGUCUUGAUGUCGUUGUGAUGCCACUUUUCCAAAAAAAUAAAGAAAAUCUGAAAAGCCGUAAUUGCUCGGAAAAUCUCGAUACCCUAACAAAAAUAAGAGGUAACCUUCGUCCUUUUUACUCUGGUUUCCACUAGCGCCGACGACGGCUCCCACCUCAUGCUCAGAAUAACCCGGAACCCAGAGUAAGCGCGCUCUCUCUUGGGUUCUUUGUUUGGUUACCUAGAAAAUAAUAGUCAAAUUUUUCUUUGAAGGAUUUACUUUUCCUCUUUGUUUUGUUUUUUCCAUUACUGAGGCUGAGAUCCUUUUCGUUUUUUCUACGACCUUUAGGUAAUUCCUUUCAUUUUCUGGGUUGCUUUCCCCUUUCCCGUUCCUUAAAUUUCCCCAGAAUUUUUCUGAACUUUUCCGGCUUGUUUCGUUAUGGAUUUGGUAUGUUUUUUUACCUAAUUGUCGAUGAUAUUCUUGCUACUGUUUCUUGGCCAAUAUUUUUUUUAACAAUCCGUGUUAUGGGUUUUUGGGAUUUCUGUUUGGUUGCUGGGAGAGUGGCAGCUAAGAGAAGUAAGCUGAAAGGUGGAACAUUAAUUUUGCCCUUUAACCACUAUUGAUUUGUCUUGAUUUGUUUCUUUUUCUUUAUGAAAUCAAUGUUUGAUCUUUUUUUUCUUGGCAAUUAGUGAGGAUUAUUGUUUGUUCUUUUUCUUUGGGAAUAUGGACUGACAGAGGAGAAAUAGAGACAAAAUAGGAAAAAAAAAACAUUGGGAAAAGUAGCCAGAAAAUGGAAACUACAUGGAACCUUUUAGAAGAGAACUCUUAGGCUAUGUUUGGUUCCCGGAAAAUUUGAGGGAAAAUGCGAGGGAAAGAAAAUACAAAGGAAAAGUAGAAGGAAAGAAAAAGUGAAGGAAAAUAAAAAAAAUAGAUUAAAAGUUGAUAAAUUAUUUUUUUUGUUACUUCAAACACAUUUUAUUUAUUUUAACUCAUCAAUAUAAAGAUUAAAUAAUUUAUAAAUACAUAAGUUUUUAAUUAGUUUUAAUUAUAUUUGAUUUUCUUUGAUAUUUUUCAUAGGACAACCAAACAUGAAAAAAUCAUUUUCCUUAGCAUUUUUUUUCUUUCCUUUGUACUUUCCGGGAACCAAACAUAGCCUUAAGGUAAAACGUGUUCGACCUCACUACAGUGGAGCGGAGAUAGAUGGAUUCGGAUUCGUAGAAAUCUCUUGAAUGUGAGUACCCAAUAAUCUAUUCCGAUUUUUAAAACUUUUGUGCUUCUCAUGGCAUUUUCUCAGGUCCACCCUCCCACAUUCCCAUCAUUUCUCUCUCUUUUUCCCCAAGGAAAAAAAGCUCGAUUUCCAUUACUUAUCUUUUUUAAUUCCUCUUGUCAGACCAUUGUUGCUGUUUUAUAAAGAACAUAAGGAAGUUUAAUUUGGGAAUUCUUGUAAGACUAAAAGCAAUUCAUUCCAUUUUUUGUAUGCUUAGUGCUUUUGUUACUUUCUAUUUAAUUGAAUUCAUAUAUAUAUAUAUAUAUAUAUAUAUACAUCUCCAUGAAUUUAUUUGGCUGUUGCAAAAAUUUUAGGGAAACAAAAUGUUUAGGUUUUUCGUUUAGAACUUCUCAAAUUGAGCCUAACACCACUCCAUUUGGCUUAGUUGGGUUAAGGUUUCAUUAAAAUUUGUAUUUAUUUAGUUUUUUUCAUUUUCCUUAUUUGUUCUUGGCAACCAAACAGGGUGCAAAGGAAAACAAGUAAUUAUUUAUAAGCUGCCACGAGCUGUUUAAUCCUGUUACCAACCCAUGGUUGCUUGCAAGUUGGCUCAAUUAGUUGUGUCGCUUAGGUUUGCUUGUUAUGUAUCGGCAUGUCUUCUGUUGGAACAAUGUGACUAGUUAACCACACUUAGUUUUGGAACAGUAUCUUCCUAAGGAAUAUUUGGGUAUCUUGUUGUGUACAUUCAUGAUAUGUGAAAUGCAUGAAGCAUUGAAAUGGAGCAAUAGACUCCACCAUAUUUUUGGUGAAUAUAAGUGUUUUAUAAUAUAAGUGUUUUAUGAUAUAAAGUAUAAGUUAGCCACAUCCAUUUUAUAUAUAUAUUUUUUAAUGCAAUUAACUACUUGAUUUAUGAGAUAAGGUUUUCUUCGGUUGAGUAGUGUUCCUGUGUUUUCCAUAUGCAUAUAAAAUUUUUUACAUGCAUAUCACUAAUUUAUACAUUAUAUUGUAGGUAAUGUUGCUGUUAGAAAAAAAAAUAAUAAUAGGAUUAGACGAAAUCAGAGCACCAAAGAGGAUAUUUUAUGAUGAAGUAAUGUUUUGGAACAUUUGAUGAUGAAGUAAUGUUUUGGAAUAUCUUUUGUCUAAUUUAUUUUAAUUAGUUCAUCUUUGAUGCGCUUCAAGUUGCUUGCAUCUUUGAUGUCCAAUUUAUCCUGUUUAUUAUUAAGUGUAGGUUGUUAUCCCUCCACUCAGCCAUUUAUUGUAUAAUAAUGAUCUUGUAUUCUAGCUUAUUUAUCAAUUCAAAUGUGUUAUUGAGUAAAUGAUUCCAAACUUGGGGGUGUCCUUGAAGAAUGAAUCCAACCCCAUGCCAUUAUAUCCUCUAUUUCUGGUAUUUCUAGUAUUCUAAUUCAUGGUUGAUUUAAGAGCACUUUGUGUUGUUAAUCCAAGUUGCAAAGGAAGGUGGUGAAAAUGGAAGGCUAUGAUUGAUGAAGUAAGUUCUGAUCAAAUAUUUUGGAAUACACUUAAAAGAGUUUUGAAUUGAAGUUUUGAAUAUAUGAUUUUUUACCCUUCAGGAAGAGAGGAUUGGAUUUUCAUUUCUUAUAUUUUAUAUAAAAGACUAACUGGAUUUUGUGUGGUUGUUCAGGAAGAGGGAGGCAAAGAACCUGAUCGAGAGUUGAUAGAUGAUUAUGAGUACUUUAGGAUGGGAUCCUCUCAACUCAAGUGUUCUGUUUUUACUAAAUUGGGUUUCGAACCCUUGUAAAUUUUGAAUCCUAUUUAACUCAUAGAUGUUUGGAGUUUCUAUAUGUUCAGAAAGAAAGUAUAUUCUUGUUAACCAUUUAGCUCACUUUUUGCCUCCUAUAGAAUAUUUUGUUUUCAUCAUCUUUAUAUUGAUUUGAAAUGAGGUCUCUUCACUAUUGAAAGUAGGAUAAUGAAAAUGGACAAUGAAAUUUAUUCCCCUAUAACAAGAAAAAUGGAUUUUUAUUUUUUUGUUGGAGAAAGUAAAACCUACUAGCUACUACUAUACGUGUAGUGCAUGAAACAAUGGAAUGAGUCCUCAUAUAUAUUUGGGAGAAUUGUGUUUUGGGCCCAGCUGGGCCCAAAAAUUAAGGAAUGGUCCAUCUAACUAACUAAAUUAAUGAUAAGGAUAUCAAAUGUUAACAGACGAAAAUACCCUUUACAUUUCCAACUCAAAAUUGUUGUAAAAUAAUGGUUUCACAGCUGGUAAACGUGAAAUGCCAUGUCACCAGAGUGAAAAUUCUGAAUCUUCCUAAAAACCACUCACAUAUACCCUCUCCUUCUACUCUCUUUCUUGCCGGAGUUUCAGUUUCUCCGUUCAACCCCAACUCUUCUCCGGCCAAUUCUUACUCGUCCCACCAUUCUUUCCUUCAAUUCUCACCAGAGUUUGCUCCUUUUCCACCAAAGUUCACUCCUUUUUCACGAAAGCUCACAACUUUUUCCCACCCGAGAAACCAUUUUCCGCUCAAACAAAUAGGAUUUUCUCCUUUUCUAGUUUAUGGGAUUUCGACAUAGUUCCUAAAAAGAGACACUUGAGAGGGAACUAAGGUUUUCUCUGUAUACACAAAAGGGUUUUUAGAGAGAGAAAACAGAGUGCAGUUUCACUGAGCCAUUUUUGUUUGCUUUGAAGGAAAUUUUUUAUGUGUUUUGGUGAAGAUUUUAGGGCCUAAAGCUUCAGAUUAUUUGUUUGGCAAUGCAGAAAAUAUAUUCUGGGUGAGUUUUUUCUCAUCUUCAUUUUUGAGAAAUUUUUUUCUCGUAUAUGGCUUUGAUUCUCAGAAAUUUAUUCUAAGGUUUGGAUUAUGUUGAUGAGAUUACCUUGAAGAACUAUGCUUAAUUGCUGAAUAUUUUGAUGAAUUUAGGUUGUAAAUAUAUAAUAUAUAAAUAUAUCAGUGAUUGAUUAAUUAAUUAAUUAAUUGAUUGAAUGAAUGAUUAAUCGACUGAUUGAUUAGGGGCUAGUUGUUAGAUUGUGUAUUCAAUGGGUGGAUUCAUGCAUGAUUUAAAUUUAUUUAUGAAAAAUGGGCCGACCAAAGUCAUUUCUUUAAUUCUUAGUUUUCAAUCACAUUCACCAUUGAUUAUGAUCAUUUUAAUAUCAUAUAUGCAUUGCAUACCGAAAAUUUUCUAUCCAAUUCUACCCAUUUACAAUUAUGUUAAUGGAAUCUAAUGAAAUUGAUGUAUUUGUUCAUGAAAAUGAGCUCAUUUGGUCUGAUUUGAUUCCGGGUCAUGGCAUUGUAGUGAGUUUAGGUGUGUUAUUGGUAUGAUUAUGUUAAUCAAAGAUUCGAAAUGGCCGAUUUCUUCAUGAAAAUGAGCUCAUUUGGUGUGAUUUGAUUUUGGGUCAUGGCAGUGCAGUGAGUAUAGAUGUAGUAAUCAAACAAAUUGUUUGUGAAAAUGAACUCAUUUUAUUUGGUUUGAUUCCGGGUCAUGGCAUUGCAAUGAGUUUAGCUGUAUUAUUGAUUAUUUGAAUGAGGGCGAUUUGUUAGGGGAAAAUGAGCUCUUUUGGUGUGAUUAUGUGAAUCAAAGGAUUUGAAAAUGGUCAGAUUGUUCAUGAAAAUGAGCUCAUUUGGUCCGAUUUGAUUCCGGGUCCUGGCAGUGCAGUGAGUUUUGGUGUAUUAGCAUGAUUGUAAUUUAUAUCAAUCAAACUAUUAGAAACACUAGAUUUCUUCACGAAAAUGAGCUCAUUUUAUGUGAUUAGGUUUCGGUUCACUGCAAUGCAGUGAGAUUUGGUGUAUUAGCAUGCGAUUGGAAAAAUGAUCUCAUAUCAUUUGAUUGAUCUCCGGCCAUGAUAUCACAAUGAGUCUAGGUCUACUACGGUGAUUAUAUCAAUGAAACGAGUAAAAAUGCUUGAUUUAUUCAUGAAAAUGAGCUCAAUCCAUGUGAUUCCAUUUUGGGUCAUGACAAUGCAGUCAGUUUAGGUGUACCGUUCAUGCAUUGUGUAAUUAGUAGGUGAUCGGGUUUUUGAUUAAUUAAUCAAGCUUGUGUCAUUCGUAAAACCUACUUACAAUACAUUGUGAUAUUGUUUUUUAAGCACGCAACCAUAUUAACAUUUUUUUAGCUCAUGUUUUAUUGUUUCAUCCAUUGUUGAUGAGGGGUUAGGCUCUAACUACAAACGAUGCAUGUCUUUUUUCGGGAUUUAUUAUACGAUAAGAAUCAUCAAUGUGUAUAUAUUUUGUGCAUGUUGUCAUCUAGGGUUUAUCGUAUUUGAUUAUUAUAAGUCAUACCGUGGAUCCUUCUUGACCGACACAUGUUUCUUAAUUAAGAAACCGAUCUCAUUGUAGUAUAAAAAACAAAACACAGGAGAAUUGUGUUUUGGGCCCAGCUGGGCCCAAAAAUUAAGAAAUGGUCCAUCUAACUGACCUAAUUAAUGAUAAGGAUAUCAAAUGUUAACAGACGAAAAUGACCUUUACAUUUCCAACUCAAAUUGUUGUAAAAUAAUGGGUUUCACAGCUGGUAAACGUGAAAUGCCAUGUCACCAGAGUGAAAACUCUGAAUCUUCCUAUGCAUGAGUAUACAUUCAGUAGUGGUUGUAUGGAAUUUAUGUCUGUGUACAAGACAUUUACACUAAGUGUACAAGGUACCUGUGCUUAAUGUACAAGGGUGUACAAAUGUACCUAUGUUGAAGUAUUUGCAAUGUUUAAAAUCAUUUCCAUUUUGAAAGGAUGAUGAACAUUCCCUCACACACAUUCCUUGAUGACGCACUCAUCCCCUUCAAUUUUAUUACUUCAUACAUGUUGAUUGGAUGACCAACGACAAUAAUGAUGAAUAAGAACCUAUAUUGUAUUUCACUUCCCCCUUUUCCCUUCCCCAUUUUCCCUUAGGCAUCACAUUGGAACAUGGUAGCUCACCCAUAUGCACGCUAUUAGUUUUAGGUAUGUCAAAUUUUUGCCAUUGUACAAGGCAUUUAAACUAAGUGUACAAGGCCAAUGUACUAAAAGUACAAGGGUGUACAAGGGUGUGUAUUUUACUUUUUCCAAACGUGGGGAACAAUCCUCACACAUGUUGCUUGAUAACACACGCAUUGCAUGCAAUUUAAUUGAUGUCUACCAUGUUCAUUCAACCUAUUAGCUUCCCUAGUAAUGAUGAAUAUGAACCGAAAUUUGGGUCACCUUUUGUGUCAUUUUCCCUAGUCCAUGGUAAUGGAAACAUUGGUUACCCACCCAUAUUCACUUGGAAAUAUGUACCUAUUAGGGAUUUGGUGACUGGACAAGGCAUUUACACUAAGUGUACAAGGCCAAUGUACUAAAAGUACAAGGGUGUACAAGGGUGUCUAUCUUACUUUUUCCAAACGUGGGUAACAAUCCUCACACAUGUUGCUUGAUAACACACGCAUUGCAUGCAAUUUAAUUGAUCUCUACCAUGUUCAUUCAACCUAUUAGCUUCCCUAGUAAUGAUGAAUAAGUUCCGAAAUUUGGGUCACCUUUUGUGUCAUUUUCCCUAGUCCAUGGUAAUGGAAACAUUGGUUACCCACCCAUAUUCACUUGGAAAUAUGUACCUAUUAGGGAUUUGGUGACUGGACAAGCCAUUUACACUAAGUGUACAAGGCAAAUGUACUAAAAGUACAAGGGUGUACAAGGGUGUGUAUCUUACUUUUUCCAAACGUGGGGAACAAUCCUCACACAUGUUGCUUGAUAACACACGCAUUGCAUGCAAUUUAAUUGAUGUCUACCAUGUUCAUUCAACCUAUUAGCUUCCCUAGUAAUGAUGAAUAAGUUCCGAAAUUUGGGUCACCUUUUGUGUCAUUUUCCCUAGUCCAUGGUAAUGGAAACAUUGGUUACCCACCCAUAUUCACUUGGAAAUAUGUUCCUAUUAGGGAUUUGGUGACUGGACAAGCCAUUUACACUAAGUGUACAAGGCAAAUGUACUAAAAGUACAAGGGUGUACAAGGGUGUGUAUCUUACUUUUUCCAAACGUGGGGAACAAUCCUCACACAUGUUGCUUGAUAACACACGCAUUGCAUGCAAUUUAAUUGAUGUCUACCAUGUUCAUUCAACCUAUUAGCUUCCCUAGUAAUGAUGAAUAAGUUCCGAAAUUUGGGUCACCUUUUGUGUCAUUUUCCCUAGUCCAUGGUAAUGGAAACAUUGGUUACCCACCCAUAUUCACUUGGAAAUAUGUUCCUAUUAGGGAUUUGGUGACUGGACAAGGCAUUUACACUAAGUGUACAAGGCCAAUGUACUAAAAGUACAAG